rnacentral:lncRNA from 1 species
GUUUUUUUCGUGAAAAUACGGUGGCCCGUCCGGUGGGUCCCUGCUGUCAGAUGGAGAAAUCAUUAUUUUGCAUGUACUAAGGUUGCAAUUCCUUGCUGUUGCCGUGGACCUAGUUGUCAGCCUGCCCACGUACAGUACUCUUCCGAUGGAAGUCAUUCCUUGAGCACAUUGACCACGCCGCACCGAGAGGACCAAGGCGGUGGACGACGGCGAGGCCUAGGAAGGGGAUGAUGCGGAGCCGGAGAAGAUGCGGCAGUGGAUGCCCACGAGGAGAGGAGUACAAGGGUUCACUGGUUUGGCUGCGGUGUGAGGCUGCCGUAGCCGCAGAAUAACAGGGGGUGUGGGUGAGUAGAGGGAUGCCUGGCUAGCGGUGGGAGUAGUAGGGGUAGUGAGGCCUCCGCGGCAACACAGCCAGCCACGGGAGGCAGGAGCAGGCGGCACGACCUGCGCUGGUUUGGGCGGCUGGAGCAAGAAGACCAGAAGUUGAAGAAGCACUACGGUCAUUGGAUGGACAUCGUACGGUCACUGGAGCUAGAAUCGUUCAUAUUGACUAAGUUGACAAGGCCCUCUGUCUGCGUCAACUUAGUAGGCCCAAAAGUGAGCCUCCCACAAUGGUGGGUCCGAGCUAGCAGGGGGAGUAUUUAUUUUUGUGUGCGUAAUAAGGAGGCACUUCCUUGCAUGCGAAGAUAUAGCUGGUGGGUCCGAGCUGUCAGCAGGGGGAACAUUUUUUCGCGAAAUACAGAGGCCCUUCCGGUGGGUCCCAGCUGUCAGGUGGAGGAAUUAUUAUUUUGCGCGUAAUAAGGAGGCAUUUCCUUGCAUGCGGCCGUGGACCCAGUUGUCAGCCUCUCCACGUACAGUCCACUUCCGACGGAUGUCCUUCGUUGACUGUGUUGACCGCGCCGCGCCGAGAGCACCAGGUCGGUAGACGACGGUGAGGCCUAGGAAGGGAACAACACGGAGCCGGGGAAGACUCGACAGUGGUUGCCCAUGUGGUGGGGAGUAUGAGGGUUUACUGGUUCGGAUGCUGUUGCCAGAAACCAGGAGGUGUGGGUGGGUAGAGGAAUGGCCUGGCAACCGAUGGAGUAGGGUGGGGCGGUGCGGCCUGUGCGGCAGCACAGCCGGCCAUGGGAGGCGGGAGCAGGCAGUCCCACCGGCUCUAGAUUGGGCGGCUGGAGCAAGAAGAUCAAAUAUUGAAGAAGCAUCACUGUCGUUGGAUUAAUAUCCAACGGUCACUGUUGCUAGAAUCGUUUGUGGACUAAAUUGACAAAGCCUUUCGUACACGUCAACCGAGUAGACCCACAAGUCAGCCUCCAAAUAUGUCUCAAAUAGCAUACGGCCCAAAAUUUCUAUCUAGAUUCAAAUUAAUUUAAAAACUAAACAUACCUUAACUUAAAUCGUAUGAAAUUUUACCCGCAAAAAAACAGUGAAAUUUGAAAUAUCAAAAUCUGAAAGAAAAAGUUAUUUUGGAACUAAUUGUCUAUUUGCUGUAUUUUUUCAUUUUACAGCCCAUUUAUUAUUACUUAUAGCCCAUUUCUGGGAAAGCCCGAAUGCAUCGCUCCUCGUCUUGGAAGAUUUCCGGCCCAACAAGGCGUAGAAAAGCAAGUAGGCCUACGUUGGUUAUUCUACAAAAAACCAAAUAGCUGGGCUAGCCAUUUUCAGAAAGAAAAAACAAACUAGGCAGGUCAUGUGGUAAACAUAUGAAAUAAAAGCUUGGGCUAGACGGGCCACAGCUCCCGCACAACCCAGUUGAUACCCUUCUCCAUCCUGAAAAAAAACUGCAUGCGCUACUGGGUCCCUAUUGUCAUCCUCACCAUGUACAGUCAUCUCCUUAUUCCUCUCGGUUAUUGACCAUGUUGACAACACCGGAGGGCGGCGCCGCGGUGAGCGAACUAAGGCGGCGGACAAUGGUGAGGCCUCGGACGGGAACUAACAGGAGCCGAGGAAGAUGCGCAGAUUUUUAGGGUGCGAUGUGGCCACGAUGCAUGCGCGGCAUCAUAGCCAGCCGUGGGAGGUAGGAGCAGGCGGUCCCGCCGAUGCUGGUCUGGCUUUGGCGGCUGGAGGAAGAAGAGACUGAAGAAACACGACAGGUGUUGAAUGUCAAUCCAACGGUGAAGGUUGGCACAAUCGUUUGUUGAUUAAGCCGACACCAAGCAGCAUACUUUUUUAUAUAUAGGAAGAAAAGAAAAACUGGGCUCGUUCACCUGAAAACAUUCCCGAAACUGCGACCGUUCGAUCUUGCGUUGCAACUAACACUACGAGGAAAAAUGCGUUUGUCUGCCAUCCUCCUCCCAGGGAACGUUCACCACAUAAGUGACUAGCACCCUUGGUUUUCAACUGAGAGGUCUUGGGUUUGAUUCCCAUGAACUCUCAAUUUUGUCCUCCUUCCUUCCUCGAAAAAAAAGAAAGAAAAUCAAAGACUUGAGAAGCGUACAUAACAAGCUAGUGUACCAGUAAAGAGACGUUGCUGAGUUUUAGAAAAAAGAGAGACGUGCUCCUGUAGCUGGUUCGAAUCCAAACCUAGACUAUGACUAUAUGUGGUGCUAUGCUACUCUGCAAGUAAUGAAACUGACAUAUCCAACAUUCACUUCUCCUCUUCUCUACUUAGGCCCUGUUUGGUUCAUAAGUCCUAGGACUUUUUCUAGUCCCAACUAAAAAGUCCCUAGUCCCUGAAAAGUCCCUCCCUGUUUGUUUUCAGAGACUAAAAAGUCCCUAGUCCCUUCCUAGAGGUUAUUAAAUGACCAUGUUGCCCCUAGUAUAUAGAAAAAUAACAAUCAAACAACACCAUGGGGUGGCAGGCCAAUGAAUGCAUGGAGGGGCAUUGUUGGAAAAGUCCCAAAAAGUCCCAAAAAAGACUCUCCUUGAGAGUCUUCUUCAUUUAGUCCCAAAUGCCUAGUUUAGUCCCUAAAAAGUCCCUUCCGUUUGGUAAAAAAGUCUCUAAGAGGGACUUUUUCUAGUCCCUACACAAAAAAGUCCCUGGAAACAAACACCCCCUUACUCUGCCUAGUAUUAGAUGCUCUGGCCGAAGCAACCAUGUCCGCUGGCAGCUCGUCCACCUCCUCUUCAGCAGGCAACAACCAGAUAUGCACCAACUCGCCACCCAUACCAUCGCCUGUGGGUCUNNNNNNNNNNNNNNNNNNNNNNNNNNNNNNNNNNNNNNNNNNNNNNNNNNNNNNNNNNNNNNNNNNNNNNNNNNNNNNNNNNNNNNNNNNNNNNNNNNNNNNNNNNNNNNNNNNNNNNNNNNNNNNNNNNNNNNNNNNNNNNNNNNNNNNNNNNNNNNNNNNNNNNNNNNNNNNNNNNNNNNNNNNNNNNNNNNNNNNNNNNNNNNNNNNNNNNNNNNNNNNNNNNNNNNNNNNNNNNNNNNNNNNNNNNNNNNNNNNNNNNNNNNNNNNNNNNNNNNNNNNGCCGGUUGCUCAUCGCAACCUGCUUCUGUUGGUGUGGUGCCACUACUGCAAAUCACGCAGAGUCAUCCGUCACGUCUCAACCACAAUCCUCAACCCUGGCCGAGUCUUCUACAAAUGCCUGAAUCAUGGGGUAAUAAUAUGUUUAAGUAUUGUUCUGCUACUUUCAGUUGCUGAUUCUUUUUCAAUAGUUUGGUUGAUGAUCUUCCAAUUUUAUUCAUGCAGAAAAGGGAAGAUUUGUGUGAUUUGUAUUUCUAGGAAGUUGCUGAUGUGGGGGAAUGCAACUAUGCUGAUUAUUUGGUUAGCCGAGGAAUCUCAAUACCAGCAGGUUGGGGUGUUGGACAAGUAAUUGAAGGAACGACAGAAGAGGAAGAUGCAUAGCAGAAGGUUAAAGAUGUAGUUCCUCUAAUCAUGGCCAAGCAACAGCUGCUGAACGGCCUUGACAGCAAUGAAGAGAUGAAAGAGCUUGUGAAGAUAAUGCGCAAAAUCGAUGUGCUCUGUAGGAUGACUGUCUAUUUAUUUGCUAUGUACGUAGCACUCGUGAUGUAUUCAGUGGCUAUGACAUGAGCACUUUGCUGAAACUAGUAAUGAAUGAAACCUGUUUAACAGGCUGGGCGUAGUGUUGUGAAUAUCUAAUGAUUUCUAUUAACGGAAAUCGGGGGGUAUCCCCUUUUGCUCGUAAGUAAAUAAAUAGUAGAGGCCCUUUUGCUAAUAAAUAGAAAAAUUAGCAGAGGCCCUGUCGGGUCAGCUUUGUUCCCAUUCGAAGACGUUGAGCAAAUUGCACUCCAACAGCAAACUAUUUUGUCAAAUUCAAGUCUCAUAGCCAAAUAUGAGUACAACUAAACAACAAUGUCGUCAUGUUUUAGUUGUCAUACAAUCACCAAACACAAAUCAACAUACAUAAUAAGUGAUGUUCUCACAGCAAAAUACUAAACAACAAGUUCAUGAGGUUUUAGUUGUCAUAGCAAACACAAUUUCACAUAGUAGAUAAAAAACAUCUUCUGAUAGACAAAUACAACAAAAGCAAUCUAAUCAUCAUCCGCAGCAGCAGUGUUUGAAUCGUAAUUCCUUAUAGUGUCAUAUUCUUCUUCAUCCUAAAUGUCCUCGAACAUUGGCUUCUUAUUGAUCAACUCUUGUAUGUCCACAGCCCGACAGGCAAUCUUUUCGCCAGCGUCAUUGAAGUGAUGGUUCUCAAACAUAUUAUGAACAUCUGUGGAAUCUUGUACAUCAGCAGCAGUGUAAGCAUCAUCUUGUUGUGCAACUUCAUUAAACAAUUCCUCUUCUCAAACCUUUGCAAUACUCUCCAGUCAUCGCUACGUGCAAAUGUGUCUUCCAAGAAAAAUAUUUGUGUUGCUUGAUUUGCCAAAAUAAAAGGCUCCUUGGUCUAGUACGCCACCUUAACAUUGAUGGAUUUGAAAUAAUCAUCAGCUCUGGGUUUUGCGAUCUUGGAAAACAGGUUAUACCAACGACAGCACAACAGAACCACACACCGAUGAACCUCAAAACUGGAGAUAUACUGCAACUAAACAACAUCUGUUAUGUUAGCAUACAUUUAAGUUGUCACUUAGCCGUACUUAUCCGUGCUCAUGAUGGCACUGUUUUGUGUCUUCCAGCCUUUGUCGCUUGCAAGGGUGUUGUAGCGCACAUCUCCAACAAUGCAAGAUUCAUAAUGUCUUACCCGAGUAUCAGGACCCAUUGCUAGUGCGUAAAGGGCAUCAUCAACUGCCUGCCCAUCCUCCCGCAUCUUCUUAACCUACGGUUAGAAAAUAGACAAGCUGGUCGUCUUAUGUACUCAAUAUAUUAAAAAACGACAGUGCAAUUCAAAAGCUUACAUGUCUCUUGAACCAUUUCGCAAAUCCUGCCAUAACUAGUUUGUCAAUGUUUUUUGGAUUUUGCGGCAGCAACUCCAUUUUGUAGAUGCUGCACAACAUAGUGAUCGUGUCAAACAUCUAAAUUUAUAAGAAUGUGCUGCAAGUUUAGUAGAUUAUGUUGUAUGAACUGCAGUACUUAGUACUUACUUCAUAUAAGGUAGUAUCUCAGGACAGUUAUUCAACACAGACCCAACCAUUUUGUCCAAAUCUUUAGGUUUGUUGUCUUGUCGACUCUUCCCUGUAACUCAAACAGAACAAUCAAAAACAUUGAGUCCGGGAUUGUCUUCACCCACCUCUUUGCUAAGCUGAUUAGCUGUUACAAUGUAUUUUGAGCAGAAUGCCAAUGCUUUUGUAGCAAUGUAGGCCUCUUCAAUGGAACCCUCGGGUCUAGCUCUAUUCCUAGCAUAGCCCUUGAAAGUGCCUAGCAGCCUUUCAAUAGGGUACAGCCAUACUGUAUUGGACCUCUAAGUAGUGCCUCAUCAGGAAGAUGAACAACCAAAUGCACCAUCACAUCAAAGAAGGCUGGAGGAUAUAUAUUCUCAAGGUCGCAUAGGAUUGUUGGUAUCUUGUCUCUAAGACGCUCCAAAGCAUCUAUCCUGAUAUUUGUACUGCAGAGUUCCCUGAAGAAUUGUCCCAACUCUGCAACUGCUCUAUAUAAGUCGGGGCGGCCCAAUCCUCUAAGGAUAAUAGGUAAAACCCUUUGAAGUAGGACAUGGCAGUCAUGAGUUUUCAACCCUUGUACCUUGUUUCCAUCUGCACUGACUCUCCUUUCAGGGUUGGAAGCAAAUCCAUGCGGGAAUCUCACACGUGACAAGACCUCACAGAAUUGUUUUCUUUUUACCUUGUCCAAGACGUACAUAGCUGGUGUCAUAUCAUGUGGUUUACCUUCAUCUUGCACCUGCAAAUCCUUUCUGAUACCCAGGUGUGUCAAAUCAAUCCUGGAUUUUAAGGUAUCUAUCAUCUUGCCUUCAAUAUUAAUAAGUGUGCCGAUAAUGUUGUCACAUAUAUUUUCUCUAUGUGCACAUCAAGAUUAUGCCGUAGAUACAAAUCUUUCAAAUACUCCAAGUCCCACAAAGUGGACCUGCGGGAAACAAUAAUCUCACUUCUGCCCUACCACGCUUCCUUUUCCCGCUACCAUUAUUAGGAUGGUUUCCUGGUGUAAUAUGUCUGACCUUCUCUAAUUCCACUUGCAACUCAUCGGCGGUGAGCCUCUUCGGCGCAUCACGGUUUUCAUGCUUUGCAUUGAACACAUGUCUUCGGUAUUUUGUAGGACGUGACUUGUCCUUGGCAAGGAAACGGUGGUGUCCAAUGUAACAGAUCUUGCUAAGUAUUGCAUAUGACAGCGGAUUCCUGUCACAAUGAACACAUGCAUUCUAACCAUGUGUCGUUCGCCCUGACAUAGUGCCCAAAGCCGGAUAAUCAUGGAUGCACCAAAUUAUAACAGCACGCGGAAAUAAAUCAGCUAGUGGGCUGCUAUAUAGGUCUCAAGUGAGAACACCCCUCCAUAGUUGUUGAAGUUCCUCCACAAGAGGCUCCAUGAAUAAAUAAAAAUCCUUUCCAGGACUUUUUGGACCUGGGAUGAGCAAGGCCAUCAUGUAGAUUGAUUCCUUGGUGCAGACAUUUGGAGGCAUGUUGUAAGGGAUAACAAGCACUGGCCACAUGCUAUAUGUGGCACUAUAGUGGCCAAAUGGGUUAAAUCCAUUUGAAGCUAAGCCAAGUCUAAUGUUUCUCGGUCAGCAGCAAACUUUUUGUGGUUCUGAUUGAAGCUUUUCUGGUCACUACCAUGAGAUGGAUGGCUCAUUAUAUUCUGAUCUCUGUACUCUUGGUUCCUAGAAUGCCACAGUACAUCCUCUCUUGUUUCAGCGUCAUGAAACAACCUCUGCAAUCUUGGUAUAAUUGGAAAAUGUCUUAGAACAUUAUGAGGAAUCCUCUUCAUAGCAUUGCCAUCUUUCCAUCUUGAUGAUUUGCAUUUCGGGCAUUCACUUAAGUUAGCAUAAUCCUUCCAUAAUAGAACACAAUUAUUCUUACAAACAUGGAUCAUAUCAUAUCCAAUUCCAAGUGCAUGAAGGAAAUUAUUCAUUUUACUGUAGGUGUGUGGCAACUGAGGCGCAUCUGGGAAAGAUUUGCGGAAAGCAGCCAACAUUGCGAAUGAUUUCUUUGGUCAUCCGCUCAGAUGUCUUCACCUAAAGAAAGGUGACCAUAGCUGAGAAUACUGACAGCUUACUUCCUGGGGUGACAGCCACGUUGCAUUGUUCCAACAUGCGGGCCCACCGUUUUUCUUCUGCAGGUGAAAGUUCAUGAAAUGCACGAGCAUUUCAUAGCAUUGUUUCAAUGUUCGUCAAAUUGACUGGCUCCGCCACCACCACCUCCCCCUCCUCUUCCACCUAAGCAUCAGGCAGAUCAAGAUGGUGAUCUGCUGCUUCCACAUAGUCAGUAACAUUGGAGUUCACAGCUUCGCCAUGAUGAACCCACCUACUAUAUGUGACCGACAUCCCAUACAAGUGUAGAUGAUUUUGCAUAGUUGACUGGGGUCUUGUAACUGAAUUCAUACAACUGCUACACGGGCAGAGCACAUCUGAUUUCAGACCACCGUACUCAGCUCUGGUAAAGUUCAUGAAGUUUUCAACCCCCUCGGCAUAUGCAGCAGAGAAUCUUCGAGCAAAAGUUAUCCAAGUCCUUUCCAGCUGUUAGACAUACAAAUUAGUUCUUCCACUAGACAGGAAAAACAUAUAUGCUUUUUUAUGAAGUCCAAAAAAAAAUACCCAGGUCGAUGUCUGAUACGUCCAUUUUGCAUCAAGUUUUCCUAUUGUUAUUUAUGAUGUUUUUAUGCACAAUAAUGCUUUUUGGAGUAAUUCUAAUGCCUUUUCUCUCAUAAUAUGCAAGGUAUACACAAAGAUGGAGAAUUCUAGCAGUUGGAAAUCUGGACCAGGAAAAGCUACGUCAGGCCACCUAUCCUGCAGAACUCUAAAUAAGUUGAAAUUCACGGGGAAUUUUUAUGGAAUAAAUGAGGAAUAUUGGAGCCAAUAAGUACCAAAGGGGCCCCACCAGGUGGGCACAACCCGCCUGGGCGCGCCAGGGAGCCCAGGCACGCCCUGGUGGGUUGUGCUCCCCUCGGCCGACCUCCGGUGCCCAUCUUCUGGUAUAUAAGUCAUUUUGACCUAGAAACAAUAAGGAGAGUACUUUAGGGACGGAGCGCCACCGUCUCGAGGCGGGACUCGGGCAAGAGCACUUUUGCCCUCCGGUGGAGCGAUUCAGCUGGGGGAACUUCUCUCCCGGAGGGGGAAAUCAUCGUCAUCAUCAUCACCAACAACUCUCCCAUCUUGGGGAGGGCAAUCUCCAUCAACAUCUUCAACAACACCAUCUCCUCUCAAACCCUUGUUCAUCUCUUGUGUUCAAUCUUUGUACCAGAACUAUAGAUUGGUGCUUGUGGGUGACUAGUAGUGUUGAUUACAUCUUGUAGUUGAUUACCAUAUGGUUUAUUUGGUGGAAGAUUAUAUGUUCAGAUCCAAUAUGCUAUUUAAUACCCCUAUGAUCUUGAGCAUGAUUAUCAUUUGUGAGUAGUUACUUUUGUUCUUGAGGUCACGAGAGAAAUCAUGUUGCAAGUAAUCAUGUGAACUUGAUAUGUGUUCGAUAUUUUGAUAGUAUGUAUGUUGUGAUUCCCUUAGUGGUGUCAUGUGAACAUCGACUACAUGACACUUCACCAUGUUUGGGCUUAAGGGAAUGCAUUGUGUAGUAGUUAUUAGAUGAUGGGUUGUGAGACUGACAGAAGCUUAAACCCUAGUUUAUGCGCUAUUCCGUAAGGGCCUAUUGGAUCCAAAAGUUUAAUGCUAUGGUUAGAAUUUAUUCUUAAUACUUUUCUCGUAGUUGCAGAUGCUUGCGAGGGGGUUAAUCAUAAGUAGGAAGUUUCUUCAAGUAAGAACAGCACCUAAGCACCGAUCCACCCACAUAUCAAAUUAUCAAAGUAGCGAACACGAAUCCAACCAACAUGAUGAAAGUGACUAGAUGAAAUUCCCGUGUACCCUCAAGAACGCUUUGGUUAUUAUAAAAGACCGUUUUGGCCUGUCCUUUGCCUCAAAAGGAUUGGGCUACCAUGCUGCACUUUUGUUACUAUUAUCGUUACUUGCUCGUUACCAAAUAUCUUGCUAUGAAACUACUCUGUUACUUACAAUUUCAGCACUUUCAGACAUUGCCUUGCUGAAAACCACUUGUCAUUUCCUUCUGCUCCUCGUUGGGUUCGACACUCUUACUUAUUGAAAAAGGCUACAAUUGAUACCCUAUACUUGUGGAUCAUCAAGGCCAUUUUCUGGCGCCAUUGCCAGGGAGUGAAGCGCUCUUGGUAAGUGGAAAUUGGUAAGGAAAAACUAUUACUACAUGCUGUAAUUUAUUGUCACUUGUUACUAUGGAAAACAAUCCUUUGAGGGGUUUGUUCGGGGUAUCUUCACCUCGACCGGAACCACAAUUAGUUACCCCUCAACCUACUGACCCUAAUGAAAAUAUUGAAUCUGAAAUACCUUCGGGUAUGAUAGAACAACUGCUAGAUAAUCCUUAUAUAGGAGAUGGAACCGAACAUCCUGAUAUGCACUUAAUGUAUGUGGAACAAAUUUGUGGAUUGUUUAAGCUUGCAGGUUUACCCGAAGAGGAAGUUAUGAAGAAGGUUUUCCCUUUAUCUUUUAAGGGAAAACCAUUGGGAUGGUAUAGGCUAUGCGAUGAUAUUGGAUCUUGGAAUUGGAAUCGAUUGAAAUUGGUGUGUCACCAAAAAAAUAUCCUAUGCAUCUAGUUCAUCAUGAUCGGAAUUACAUAUAUAAUUUCUGGCCUCUUGAAGCAGAAAGUAUCGCUCUAGAUUGGAGGAGGCUUAAUUCAAUGUUAUAUUCAUGCCCCAAUAAUGAGGUCUGAAGAGAAAUUAUUAUCCAGAAUUUCUAUGCUCGGCUUUAUCAUAAUGAUCGAUGCAUGCUUGAUACUUCUUGUGUUGGUUCUUUUAUGAAGAAGACUAUUGAAUUCUAGUGGGAUCUUUUGGAAAGAAUUAAAGGCAACUCUAAAGAUUGUGAACUCUACGAAGGUAAAGAGUCAGAUAUUAAGCUUAAGUAUGAUUGUGUUAAAUCUUUUAUAAAUACCGAUGCUUUUCAAAAGUUUAGCACUAAAUAUGGACUUGACUCUGAGAUAGUAGCCUCCUUUUGUGAAUCAUUUUCUACUCAUGUUGAUCUCCCUAAGGAGAAGUGGUUUAAAUAUCACCCACCUAUUAAAGAAGAAAUUAAAGAACAUGUACCAACUAAAGAGGAAACUAUUAUUUAUAAUGUUGAUCCAGUUGUUCCUACUGCUUAUAUUGAGAAACCACCAUUCCCUGUUAGGAUAAAUGAACGUGCUACAGUUUAAACUAUGGUCAACAAAAGUUAUAUUAGAACACCUAAACUUGAUGACCAAAUCAAAGUACAACCUAGUGUUUCUAUGGUUAAAGAUAUUCUGGAAGAAAACAUAGAUGGGUAUGUUAUUUAUUUCUGUGAUGAAGCUGCUAGAAUUGCCAAACCUGAUGGUAAAGAUAAACACGGACAUGUUGUUGGCAUGCCCGUUCUCUCAGUUAAAAUAGGAGAUCACCGUUAUCAUGGCUUAUGGGACAUAGGUGCUAGCAUGAGUGUUAUUCCCUUUACUUUAUAUCAAGAACUUAUGAAUGACAUAGCACCCGCAGAGAUAGAAGACAUAGAUGUUACUACUAAACUUGCUAAUAGAGACACUAUUUCACCAAUUGGGAUUGUUAGAGAUGUUGAAGUCUUGUGUGGGAAAAUAAAAUAUCCUACUGAUUUUCUUGUUCUUGGUUCCCCAAAAGAUGAUUUUUGUCCCAUUAUCUUUGGUAGACCUUUCUUGAACACCGUCCAUGCUAAAAUAGAUUGUGAGAAACAAAUUGUCAGUGUCAGCUUUGGUGAUGAGUCUCAUGAGUUUAAUAUUUUCAAUUUUAGUAGAAAACCUCAUAAAAAUAAUUUCCUAGUAAGGAUGAAAUAAUUGGUCUUGCUUCUAUUGUUGUGCCUUCUACUGAUCCUUUAGAACAAUACCUGUUAGACCAUGAAAAUGAUGUACAUAUGCAUGAAAGAAAUGAAAUAGAUAAUAUCUUAUUUGAACAACUGAUACGUCUCCAAUGUAUCUACUUUUCCAAACACUUUUUCCCUUGUUUUGGACUCUAACUUGCAUGAUUUGAAUAAAACUAACCCGGACUGACACUGUUUUCAGCAAGACUGCCAUGGUGUUAUUUUUGUGAAGAAAAAAAGUUCUCAGAAUGACCUGAAAAUCCACGGAGAUUAUUUUUGGAAAAUAUAAAAAAUACUGGUGAAAGAAUCAAGGCCAGGGGGCCCAUACCCUGUCCACGAGGGUGGGGGCGUGCCCCCUCCCCCUAGGCGCGCCCCACUAUCUCGUGGGGCCCCUGGAUGUCCACCGACCUCAACUCCAACUCCAUAUAUUCUCUUUCGUGGAGAAAAAAAUCAGAGAGAAAGUUUCAUCGCGUUUUACGAUAUGGAGCUGCCGCCAAGCCCUAAUCUCUCUCGGGAGGGCUGAUUUGGAGUCCGUUCGGGUCUCCGAAGAGGGGGAUUCGUCACCGUCAUAGACACACCUGUUGUAGACACACCUGUUGUAGACACUCCUGAGAAUCCCAAUGAUAUUUCUAUUUCUGAUGCUGAAACACAAUCUGGUGAUGAACAUGAACCUAAUGAUAAUGUUCAUGUUGAUGCUCAACCUAGCAAUAAUAAUGAUGUAGAGAUGGAACCUGUUGUUGAUCUUGAUAACCCACAAUCAAAGAAUUAAUGUUAUGAUAAAAGAGACUUUGUUGCUAGGAAGCAUGGUAAAGAAAGAGAACCAUGGGUUCAGAAACCCAUGCCUUUUCCUCCUAAACCAUCCAAGAAAAAGGAUGAUGAGGAUUUUGAGCGCUUUGCUGAAAUGAUUAGACCUACCUUCUUACGUAUGUGCUUAACUGAUAUGCUUAAAGUGAACCCUUAUGCUAAAUACAUGAAAGAUAUUAUUACAAAUAAAAGAAGGAUACCGGAAGCUGAAAUUUUCACCAUGCUUGCUAGUUAUACUUUUAAGGGUGGAAUACCUAAGAAACUUGGAGAUCCAGGAGUACCAACUAUACCAUGCUCCAUUAAAAGAAACUAUGUUAAAACUGCUUUAUGUGAUCUUGGAGCCGGUGUUAGUGUUAUGCCCCUCUCUUUAUAUCAUAGACUUGAAUUGAAUAAGUUUACACAUACUGAAAUAUCUUUGCAAAUGACCGAUAAAUCAACUGCUAUACCUGUCGGUAUUUGUGAGGAUGUGCCUGUUGUGUUUGCAAACGUUACUAUCUUAACGGACUUUGUUAUUCUUGAUAUUCCCAAGGAUGAUAGUAUGUCAAUUAUCCUUGGUAGACCCUUUUUGGAUACUGCAGGGGCUGUUAUUGAUUGCAACAAAGGCAAUGUCACUUUUCAUGUUAAUGGUAAUGAGCAUACGGUACACUUUCCGAGGAAACAACCUCAAGUUCAUAGCAUCAAUUCUAUUGGAAAAAAAUUCAACUAUUAUUAUUGGAGGUUUUGAAUUUCCUCUUCCUACUGCCAAGAAGAAAUAUGAUAUUCUUAUUAUAGGGGAUGUUCAUAUCCCUGUUGAGGUAACCUAGUGUUAUUCGAAAUUUCUCCGGUUCCAUGUUAUUCGGAAUGAGUUUGUUAACAAGACUUGAUCAACCUUGUUAGUGGAUUCCUUUUGAUGAUCAUGAGAUGGAUGAAACUAGAAGGCACAACCUUCUAUACCCUCUUUUUACUUUCUGUUAUUUAGAAUAAAUAAAUCAAAAAUAGUAUUAUCUGUCUGUUUUCUGAAUUAUCCAUGCAAUAAAAAAUUACCCUGAAAAUAAAAGUUCUCCAAAUGCCCUGAAAAUGAAAUGUGAUUUUUUCUAGAAUAUUUGAGAAUGUUUGGUACUGAGAACACAACAGGGAGGAGGCUAGCGAGUACGGAAGGAGGACGGAGGCAGUUCGCCUCCAAGCUGCAGCUCAUGAGGCAAUGGCUGCUGCAUCCCAGUACGACCCCAGCUACCACUUUGAUCAAUGCGCGUAGACCAACUUAGGACAAAAGCCUAAGCUUGGGGGAGUAUGUAUUUCUCAUCGACAUUACAUUCAUGUUCACACACUCAUUCUAGUUGUCGGUGCUCAUACUUUUUCAUUGUACUAUCCAUGCUAGUUUAAUUUAUUUUUCUUGCUUUCUUCUUGUGUGUUUGAACAACCUUCAGAAAAACCAAAAAAAUAGUUGUAGCAUUUGGCUAGUUUAUUUUCCAUGCUUGUUGUAGUAUAAUUAAUAGAAAACCCAAAAACAUUUCUCGUUCUUCUUUUGCUUGUUGGGAGAUUUCCCGUGUAAAUAGUUUAUUUCUUUUCUUUGGGGGUCGAGAGGAGAAGACCAUAAUGAAAAUGUUUAGUGGCUCUCAUAUGCAUGAUAGUUGAUUUAACCAAGAGCCCAUAUUACCUUGUCUUCUCCCUUGAAUUGAAUGCUUGCAGAUUCCAGCUUAGUCCAAAGCACGUGCACUAUUAUUAUUGUACACACCGUUCGGUCGUGCAAGUGAAAGGAAAUAAUGACGACAUAUGAUGGAUUGAUUGAGAUGAGAAAAGCUGGUAUGAACUCGACCUCUCUUGUUUUUGUAAAUAUGAUUAGUUCAUCAUUCCUGAUCCAGCCUAUUAUGAAUAAACAUGUUUGCAAUGACAAUUAUAGAUUAUAGUUGCUUAUGCCAUGCUUAAUUAGCUAGGAGCUUAUAAUGGUUUACCUUGCGUGCCAACAUGCUAUUAAAAUGGUUGUGAUGUGGUAUGAUAGGGUGGUAUCCUCCUUUGAAUGAUUCGAGUGACUUGACUUGGCACAUGUUCACGCAUGUAGUUGAAACAAAUCAACAUAGCCUUCACGAUAUUUAUGUUCAUGGUGGAUUAUAUCCUACUCAUGCUUGCACUCGGUAUUGAUUAAUUUUAAUGCAUGUUCAUGACUAUUGUCGCUCUCUCAGUUGGUCGCUUCCCAGUCUUUUGCUAGCCUUCACCAGUACUAAGCGAGAAUACUACUUGAGCAUCCAAACUCCAUAAACCCCAAAGUUAUUCCAUAUGAGUCCACCAUACCUUCCUAUACGUGGUAUUUACCUGCCGUUCCAAGUAAAUUUGUAUGUGCCACACUCCAAACCUUCAAAUGAAAUUCUGUUUUGUAUGCUCGAGCAGCUCAUGUAUCAACUAGGGCUAUCUAUAUCUUCCAUGUUAGGUGGGUUAUUCUCAAGGGGAGUUGACUCCGCUCCUCAUUCACGAGAAAAUGGCUUGUAACUGGGAUGCCCAGUCCCAUGAUCAAAAAGAUCAAAGCAAAUCAAAAUAAUAAAACAAAACUCCCCCAGGAUUGUUGCUAGUUGGAGGCACCCGUUGUUUCGGGCAAGCCAUGGAUUGAUGCUUGUUGGUGGUGGGGGAGUAUAAACUUUACCAUUCUGUUUGGGAACCGCCUAUAAUGUGUGUAGCAUGGAAGAUAUCGAGAUCUCAUAGUUGUUGCGUUGAUAGUGAAAGUAUACCACUCAAAAUGUUAUUCAUCUCUAUUUUAAAAUCGAGCUCUAGCACCUCUACAAAUCCCUGCUUCCCUCUGCGAAGGGCCUAUCUAUUUACUUUUAUGUUGAGUCAUCACCCUCUUAUUAAAAAGCACCCGCUAGAGAGCACACUGUCAUUUGCAUGCAUUACUAUUAGUUUAUAUUGGGUAUGACUUGACUGGAUCUCUUUUACCAUGAAUUACUAUGUUUAGUCAGUCCUUGAUCUUUAAAGGUGCUCUACAUUUAUGUUUUGCGGUCUCAGAAAGGGCUAGCGAGAUACCAUCUUGUUAUAUCAUAUUAUGAUUGUUUUGAGAAAGUGUUGUCAUCUGAGAUUUAUUAUUAUUGCUCGCUAGUUGAUUAUGACAUUGAUAUGAGUAAACAUGAGACCUAAGUUUUAUUGUGAAUAUGGUUAGUUCAUAAUCUUUGCUGAAAACUUGAAUGCUGGCUUUACAUAUUUACAACAACAAGAGCAAAUAGAGUUUGUAGAAGUUUUUCUUUAUCACUUUCAGUUUAUCAACUGAAUUACUUGAGGACAAGCAAAGAUUUAAGCUUGGGGGAGUUGAUAUGUCUCCAACGUAUCUACUUUUCCAAACACUUUUGCCCUUGUAUUGGACUCUAACUUGCAUGAUUUGAAUGAAACUAACCCGGACUGACGCUGUUUUCAGCAGAACUGCCAUGGUGUUAUUUUUAUGCAGAAACAAAAGUUCUCGGAAUGACCUGAAAAUCCAUGGUGUUAUUUUUGGAAAAUAUAAAAAAUACUAGCGAAAGAAUUAAGGCCAGGGGGCCCACACCCUGUCCACGAGGGUGGGGGCGCGCCCAGGGGCACGCCCCCUGCCUCGUGGGCCCCCUGGAUGUCCGCCGACCUCAACUCCAACUCCAUAUAUUCUCUCUCACGGAGAAAAAAAUUAGAGAGAAAGUUUCAUCGCGUUUUACGAUACGGAGCCGCCACCAAGCCCUAAUCUCUCUCGGGAGGGCUGGUCUGGAGUCUGUUCGGGGCUCCGGAGAGGGGGAUUCGUCGCCGUCGUCAUCAUCAACCAUCCUCCAUCACCAAUUUCAUGAUGCUCACCGCCGUGCGUGAGUAAUUCCAUCGUAGGCUUGCUGGACGGUGAUGGGUUGGAUGAGGUUUACCAUGCAAUCAAGUUAGUUUUGUUGGGGUUUGAUCUCUAGUAUCCACUAUGUUCUGAGAUUGAUGUUUCUAUGACUUUGCUAUGCUUAAUGCUUGUCACUAGGGCCCGAGUGCCAUGAUUUCAGAUCUGAACCUAUUAUGUUUUCAUGAAUAUAUGUGAGUUCUUGAUCCUAUCUUGCAAGUCUAUAGUCAUCUAUUAUGUGUUAUGAUCCGACAACCCCGAAGUGACAAUAAUCGGGAUACUUCUCGGUGAUGACCGUAGUUUGAGGAGUUCAUGUAUUCACUAUGUGUUAAUCCUUUGGUCCGGUACUCUAUUAAAAGGAGGCCUUAAUAUCCCUUAGUUUCCACUAGGACCCCGCUGCCACGGGAGGGUAGGACAAAAGAUGUCAUGCAAGUUCUUUUCCAUAAGCACAUAUGACUAUAUUCGGAAUACAUGCCUACAUUACAUUGAUGAACUGGAGCUAGUUCUAUGUCACCUAUGUUAUAACUGUUACAUGAUGAACCGCAUCAGACAUAAUUAUCCAUCACUGAUCCAAUGCCUACGAGCUUUUCACAUAUUGUUCGUUGCUUAUUUACUUUACCGUUGCUACUGUUAAAAUUGCUACAAAACUGCUAUCGUUACUUUUGCUACUAUUACCGUUACUAUCAUACUACUUUGCUACUAAAUACUUUGCUGCAGAUACUAAGUUAUCCAAGUGUGGCUGAAUGGACAACUCAACUACUAAUACUUGUGAAUAUUCUUUGGCUCCCCUUGUGUCGAAUCAAUAAAUUUGGGUUGAAUACUCUACCCUCAAAAACUGUUGCUAUCCCCUAUAUGUGUGGGUUAUCAACAACGUCCUCUACUUAAACACAAUUUGCCGAUUGAAACUCUAGGAGGUAGUCCUCCACCUAAAGGUGAUCCUGUGUUGUAAUUAAAACAAUUGCCAGACACUCUGAAAUAUGCUUAUCUUGAUGAAAAGAAGAUAUAUCCUGUUAUUAUUAGUGCUAACCUUUCAGAACAUGAAGAGGAAAGAUUAUUGAAAGUUCUAAGGAAGCACCGAGCUGCUAUUGGAUAUACUCUUGAUGAUUUAAAGGGCAUUAGUCCCACUCUAUGUCAGCACAAGAUUAAUAUGGAACCUAAUAGUAAACCCAUUGUUGAUCACCAAUGCUGGUUAAAUCCGAAGAUGAAGGAAGUGGUAAGAACGGAAAUAUUAAAACUUCUAGAAGCAGGUAUAAUCUAUCCUAUAGCUGAUAAUAGAUGGGUAAGUCCUAUCCAUUGUGUCCCUAAGAAAGAAGGUAUUACUGUUGUUCCUAAUGAUAAGAAUGAACUUAUUCCACAAAGAAUUGUUACAGGCUAUAGAAUGGUAAUGAUUUUAGAAAAUUAAACAAAGCAACUAGAAAAGAUCAUUAACCUCUGCCUUUUAUUGAUCAAAUGCUAGAAAGUUUAUCUAAGCACACACAUUUUUGCUUCCUUGAUGGAUAUUCUGGUUUUUCACAAAUACCUGUUUCUCAACCUGAUCAAGAAAAGACCACUUUCAUUUGUCCCUUUGGAACUUAUGCUUAUAGACGUAUGCCUUUUGGUUUAUGCAAUGCACCUGCUACAUCUCAAUGAUGUAUGAAUGCUAUAUUCUCUGAUUUUUGUGAAAAGAUUGUUGAGGUUUUCAUGGAUGACUUUUCUGUUUAUGGGAAGUCUUUUGAUGAUUGUUUAAGCAAUCUUGAUCGAGUUUUGCAGAGAUGCGAGCAAACGAAUCUUGUCUUGAAUUGGGAGAAGUGUCACUCUAUGGUUAAUGAAGGUGUUGUCUUGGGCCAUAAAAUUUCUGAAAGAGGUAUUGAGGUGGAUAAGGCUAAGGUUGAUGCAAUUGAGAAAAUGCCAUGUCCUAAAGAUACCAAAGGUAUUCGUAGUUUCUUAGGUCAUGUUGGUUUCUAUAUCGACACUCUUACUUAUUGAAAAGGCUACAAUUGAUCCCCUAUACUUUUGGGUCAUCAAUGUCUAAAGUAUGGCAAGAUAUUUGGACAAGCAGAUCUAGGUAACUAAAUAUAUGUAAAGCUAAUUCAGCAAACAGAUUUGAGUGCUAAAUUAUGGCAGGCUGUUUCAGCAGUCAAUGAGGCCAAGCACACAGCCAUCAAAGGCCAUCUCAGCAACAAAGAUUGAGUAUAAAAUGGUGUAGAGCUAUUUCACCGAACAGAUUGGCUACUAGACCAUGGCAAUCUCCGUCACAAUAAAUAUAUGGCAGGAUAUUUUAGCAACUAAUUGGGCUUGGCAUGCCAUCUCAGCUAAGCAGAUUAAGUGCAUAACAGGGCAAGGAAGUUUAAGCACAGCAUAUUGAAUGUAAACUACUUCGAGAAACAGUGAGAUUAACAGCGUCUAUCAGCUAACAUUCAACGCUACACCGACAUGCACGAGGCCUUAGUCUAGAAUGCGCGUACCGUGGGAGAAGUUGACCGCUGUGCAUAUCCACAAGAAUGUCCCUAGCGGUGGCGGUGCAGACCGCAGUGCGUCUGCACAAGAACGUCACCAGUGGUGGCAGCGUGGCUAGAGGACGACAGUCUAUGAAAGCGUAUUGUGGGAGCGAGAGGAUCACCGUGCGUCCCCUCGAUGAACCGCGGCGCCGGCGUAUCGGUGCGGCGGGGAGGGCGGCUUUAGCGGGGCGAAUGGAGUGGAGGGNNNNNNNNNNNNNNNNNNNNNNNNNNNNNNNNNNNNNNNNNNNNNNNNNNNNNNNNNNNNNNNNNNNNNNNNNNNNNNNNNNNNNNNNNNNNNNNNNNNNNNNNNNNNNNNNNNNNNNNNNNNNNNNNNNNNNNNNNNNNNNNNNNNNNNNNNNNNNNNNNNNNNNNNNNNNNNNNNNNGGGGGUUGCGCGGUGGGAUUUUAGCGGUUUGGCGCAUGGUCGGUUUCUCCAAUUGCAGUCCCAUGUAUUAGUGAAGAGGCAAGCAUAAGCGUGUUCCGUUUGUGUGAGCUGUUUGCAGGACCGACCGUGUGUGGGGUGCAAUGCGACCGCGACAGGCGUGUUGUGAGUGUAUCGCCUUUUUUCCUUUUAAACUUGGUGCUUCGCCCCCUAAAAAAACUUGGUGCUUCACGCGAUCCUUCGAUACUACUACUAGUAAUCUGGUAAUCACGACUAAAAUGGCGUGGCCGGGUCUUUUCCCGCGUGAUAUGCUAGGAGGUUGGCUUAGUUGGUUUUUUAGGACGAGUAAUGCUACACCUACGUAAUCCCAGUUACGUAAUUAAAAUAAUGUGAAAUGUGAGAGCUAUUGAUUGUAGAUCGGGGGGAGGGAGGGGCCCACCACCAUGAAAAUGAGGGGGGAGAGAGAGGCAAUUUACAUUAACCCUUUCAUAGGUUCCCAUAGAUGUAGAAAGAUGUGAAAUGCGUGAAUGUGUAGUGGACGUACUAUUGGAGUGCCUAAGAUAAAUUGUGUAUGCAGACCCUAUGUGUUUAUUUACUUCGCAUGUUAGCUUUAUCUCGGGUAAAACAUUCUAAGUUUAUACACACAAAAACGAAUCAUCAUUCCAUAUAUCUUACUAUGAUUGUGAAAGUUCAUAUACACCGGACGAGAUUAAUGCAAACAUGACAGAUUUUCAUUACAUUUCGAACUUUUAUAGGACAGAAAAAUAAAAGAAACCCGACCCUAAACCUAUUCUAUGGCGGCGACCGACGUCCUCCAUCUGCGAUAUCCAUGUACAGGGGCGGGGUUCAAGACCCGUGAAGUGAAAGUGCGGUCUCCGGCAAGGAAGAGUAGAGCAUGGGAGAAGGACCGGACAGUUGGCACACCAUGCCCUGCCACCUCCCAUGCCCUACUCAUACUCGGAGGAGUCCCCGACCUCGCCAGUGCCGGUGGAUGUGAGGUCGAUGAUGAUGGAUGUGGACGGUGAGUCGCUUCACCUACCACAUGCGCGAUCGAACAUUGGACGGCAACAAGUAGGACGCGUGGCUGACGGUGCACCUGUCAUCGGCCGCCAGCGUGGCCACCGCUUGUGUGGUCGCGUCCGCAUCCAGCUAUGCCGCUAUUGCAUCACAAGCGGCAACUUGAGCGAGGGCGGCGACCUCGAGCUUUAUCCCCAAAGACAAGAUCUCCCGCAGAGCGUUCACGCUUGCGGUCCUGGUGGAUGUGGUGCCAUGUAGCAGCACAAUGCGCUAUGGUGCGGAGUUUAUCUGCCCGUUGCUGCUUUAAGUAGCGCAUUCCGGUGAGGCCAAGCAUCCGUGUGUGUCAUUAAGUCACCGAAGUUGGUUCCUCGCGCACCGAGCCUCUUAAUGACGGCAUACGGAUGGACGACAUAAAUGCGGGCAGCUGGCGUCGACUGAGAACACACCGCAUGACGGCAGAGGGACGAGGGUUUUUUGUGUGCCAGGGUAGUUAGCUGCGGUCGUGGCAACGUUGGAGAUGCCCUUUGCUCAAUGCAAUUCCCGCAUGUCAUUGAAAAAGCAAGACGACCCGGCAUGGUCAGUUGGUCGUGCUACAACACUCCGCGGAUGCGUCGCGGUGCGCGCGCGCACUUUGGCGCCCCGUGCAUCCUCGACGAGCUGGGUGUUGAUCUGCUGGUCGUGCCACAGUGCUAAUGUGUUGGUUUUGGGUACGGUACCACCAUUUUCCCUUUUAACUAGUGAAGCGUAACACUUGAUUAAUUAGCCGGAUGGUGUGCUAAUGUAGGUGUCCGACUGUUUGAAGGAAUAAUUGAGGUGUGCCCGAUCCGUGCCCGCAUUUAGGGGUCCAACUUACCAUAUUCCGGCAGUAGUAACUAUACUAGUCCCUGCAUACUCCCUCUGUUUUUAUUUACUCCACAUUUUAGGUUUGCUGAAAGUCAAACUUUGUAAACUUUGAUAAAGUUUAUAGACAGAAAUAAUAACAUAUACAAUAACAAAUCAAUACCAUUAGAUUCAUUAUUGAAUAUACUUUCACAUCUUAUAGAUUCGCUAUUGUAAAUGUUCAUAUUUUUUCUAUAAAUUUGGUCAAAUUUUAUGAAGUUUGACUCCAGUCAAACCUAAUAUGCAGAGUAAAAAAAAACGGAGGGAGUAACUUACUCCGUGACCAAGACAGCAGGGAAAACGAGAUAACUUAUUGUUUAUUUGAGUCGUUCAAGUAUAAUCAUGUGGCGUUGCUUAUUUCUCGUUCCUCUCCAACCCUCUUCUCCAUUGAUCAUGCCGCCCUCCGGCAGAGUCCAUCCUCCCGCAUGCCUCAUUUGAACAUUCCACCGAGUAUCAUUUGCAUGUGGGCCUAGACCAUGCUUGUAUUUCCAAUGUUAUAAUUUGUCCGACAUGCAUACUAACAAAUGGUUCGUUUAAAUUUUCACUUUGCCUCCACUAUGUGUCGCUUCCUGACUUAGUUUUGACAUCCCAUUCGGUUCAUGCCCCAACACAUCUUGACGGGAUUGAUUAAUGUUGAGAGAUCAAUUGCGUGUCGUGCAAGGAGAUAAAGGUUUGGUCUGUUUCUAUGAUAGAAAUGACCCGCGGGGGAGGGGGGUCUGUGGGGAUCGGAGGGAGUAUAUUGUAUGUUCAUAAGCGAAACGAACGUACUGGACCCACCCUAGUCCUCUUUCAAUCGAUCUUCGGACCCUGAGAUGAAACCGAGAGAGAAUGAGUGGGUGCAUAUGUGAUACCUAAGGCGGAUCAAAAUUUUGAACCAGUGAUCAUAGCAUCAGCAAAUCAUACAUAAAGGGUAUUUAAUGUUGGUUUUGCUUUUGAACGUACAAUAUACUCCCUCCGAUCCUUUCUAGCUUACAUAUAAGUUUUAUGUGUAAUCAAAGUAUCUCUACUUUGAUCAAACUUACAGAAAAAAGUAUCAACAUUCAACAAUGCCAAUCAAUAUUGGUAGAUUCGUACAUACUCCUAGAUUUGUAUUCAAACAGAGAUGGUUUCCAAUUUGUUUUCAGACACGUGAAUGUGCUUGUUCUCAUGCAUGCUCUUCCUACUAGGAUUUCAUCAUGUAUAGCCAGUCCAAUAGUAACUUUUUUAAGCCCCCUAUCCAAUAGUACUAGUGGAGUAUUGACAACAUAUGUUUUUAUUUACUCCGCAUAAAACGGAGGUAGUAAUAUAAAUGACGCGGGCCGGGGAGGGUGAGGGAUGUCAGUUUGCUCUCAACUGCGGUCCCACAAGCGAGCAAAAAUGUAAGACAAAGUGCGUUCCAUUCAGUGAGCGACGUGGAGGGUACAGCGUGUUGGGGUGCAACGCGAACGCGACAAGAGCGAUGUUCAGUCAAAACUGAUUGACCAGUCGUCACUGGAACCACUAUUCACACAAGAACCUUCGCUGCUCGACCUAUGCCAGCCACUACCCCAAAACCACACCUCCUCUCCAGCCCAUUCCCCCACCUUUUGAUCCCCUAGCCCGCAUCAAGCAUCCCCUAGUUCGCCGGAAAGCCAUGGUGCGCCGCAAGAUCACGUACUACAAGAUGCUGACGCUGGAGCGCCGCGCAGAAAUUGCGGCGGUGGUUGGUGCCACAGACCUCCGUUCCCAAGCUCGCUUUGCGGCGGGCCAAUCCCCGAGUUCUCUGGAGCCAAGCUCCGAGGAGGUGGAAGCCGAUCCAAUGUUUAUGGCGGAGGUCACGGCGCAGAAGGCCCUCGAUGCGUGUGAGACGAUGGACGUUGACUUUUUGCCGGCAUCCAGGUCCCCCAUGGUGCAGGCAGACCAGCGGUUCAACCUGGCGAUACUAAAGGAGGACCGAGAGGCGGAGGCUCAACUCGACAUGGAGCGCACGCAUGCCGCUACCAUCGAAGCCCUCCUGCAAGCAGAACCGGAUGUCAUUGAUCUGAACCGGGCGACGGAGGCUCAACUUGACGUGGAGCGCACGGAUGACGCUGCCAUCGAGGCCCUCCUGCAGGCGGAACCGGACGUCCUUGACUUGAACCAGGUGGUGGAGGCUCAACUUGACGUGGAGCGCGAGGAUGCCGCUGCCAUCGAGGCCCUCCUGUGGGCGGACCCGGACGUCCUGGACUUGAACCGGGCAACAGAGGCUCAACUCGACACGGAGUGCGCGGAUGCCGCUGCCAUUGAGGCCCUCCUGUAGGUGGAACCGGAUGUCCUGGACUUGAACGGGGUGGUGCUCUCAUCCGUGUAGAGCGCCCGUGCACUCCAUGUGAACGAGUAGCUAGAAGCCAAGGACAACCACGAUACAGAGACACACGUCGGUAGCUACGGCUAGUUCACGCCGACAGCCAAAGAUGACGAGGCCGUCUCGUUCCGCGAGCAGUGAUAGUUUUCUUUUUUAUUUUGUUUUUAGGGAUCUUUUGUUGUGUAAAAACAUAUAUUUAUGCAAUUCGCCUGACUUUCAUCAUUUGGGUCAGUCGACCAUUUCAGGCGGUUGGAUGAAUAUUCUACGUCUCCUUGAUAUGUCUCCAAUGUAUCUAUAAUUUAUGAAGUAUUCAUGCUGUUAUAUUAUCAUUCUUGGAUGUUUUAAAAUCAUUUCAUUGCAACUUUAUAUCAUUUUUAGGGACUAACCUAUUGACCCAGUGCCCAAUGCCAGUUGUUGUUUUUUGCUUGUUUUUACAUCACAGGAAAUCAAUAUCAAAUGGAGUCCAAACACCGCGUAACUUUUUGGAGAUUUUUUCUAGACCAGAAGGAACCCAAUGGGCCUAAGCUGCACCUGGGGGGUGCUCCGAGGGGGGCACAACCCACCAGGGCGCGCCAGGGCCCCCUGGUGCGCCCAGGUGGGUUGUGCCCACCUCGGUGGCCUCCCGCAGCCCUUCUUUGCACUAUAAAUUCUCAAAUAUUCCAAAACCCUUCGGGGUAAACCUAGAUCAGAAGUUCCGCCACCGCAAGGUCUCUGUAUCCAUGAAAAUCAAUCUAGACCCUGUUCCGGCACCCUGCCUGAGGGGGGAAUCAUCUCCGGUGGCCAUCUUCAUCAUCCCGACGGCCACCACGAUGAGGAGGGAGUAGUCCACCCUCGGGGCUGAGGGUUUGUACCAUUAGCUAUGUGGUUGAUCUCUCUCUCGUGAUCUAUAUCAUGGGCUUUGUUAAUAUAGUCGGAUCAUAUGAUGUUUCUCCCCUCUAUACUCUUGUUAUGACGAAUUGAAUCUUUACCGUUCAAAGUUUUGUCUUGUUGGAUUGAAUAUUCAGAGAUGAGAACACAUGAUAUAUGUCUUGCAAUAUGAAUACUUGAGGUGACAAUGAGGUAUCUUAUUGAUUAACUUGAUAUGUGUUAUGGCAUUCAACUUGCGGAUUCCCGCAGUGAUAUUGGGGUAAUUUAUGCAUAGGGGUUGAUGCAUAUUUUUCUCUGACAGAAACUUUGAGGUCUCUUUAUAGUUCUUUGUGUGGAUUGAGUAUUAUGAUAUGAAUUUGCUUUGGUGUUAUUCUAGUGCGAACUCUAGGAUAGAUUGAACGGAAAAAUAGCUUUGUGUUAUUUUAGUACAAACUCUUGAAUAGAUCGAACGGAAAGAAUAGCUUUGAGGUGGUUUCGUGACCUACAAACAAUUCAUAUACUUCGUUCUCCGCUAAUAGGAACUCGGGAGUGAUCCUGUAUUGCACUUUGAGGGAUGAUCAUAUGAUCCAACUAUGUUAGCAUUGUUGAGAGGUUACACUAGUGAAAGUACGGACCCUAGGCCUCAUUUUUAAGCAUUGCAAUACCAUUUUUGUGCCCAUUUACUAUUUGCAACCUUGCUGUUUUUAUUUAUUCAGAUUACAAAAAUAUAAUUCUAACAUCCAUAUUACACUUUUAUCACCAUCUCUUGGCCGAACCAGUGCACCUAUACAAUUUGCCAUUGUAUUAGGUGUUGUGGGGACACAAGAGAUUUCUUGUAUUUGGUUGCACGGUCAUUUGAGAGAGACCAUCUUCAUCCUACACCUCUUAUGGAUUGAUAAACCUUAGGUCAUCCACUUGAGGGAAAAUUGCUACUAUCCUACAAAACUCUGCGCUUGGAGACCCAACACGUGUCUACAAGAAUAAAGUUGCGUAGUAGACAUCAAGCUCUUUUCUGGCGUCGUUGCUGGGGAGGUAAGAAAAUCGGCACUCACACUCCGGCAAUGAAGCUCUUUUCUGGCGCCGUCGCUGGGGAGGUGAGUGCUUGAAGGUAUAUCUUUAGAUCUUGCAAUUAAAUCUUUUAGUUUCUUGUUUUACCACUAGUUUGGUUUAUAAAAGAAAACUACAAAAAAUGGAAUUAAGGUUGCAUCAUAUUAUUGAUCAUCUUUAUAAUAUCUUUCUUGGAAAUGAUGGUUCGAAAAAUUGUGCUCAAUUGAUAGAAGAAGAAUUUAAUAAAAUGAUUGGAAUGAAUGAUGAGCAUGAUGGCAAUGUUGUUAGUAUGAAUUCUUUGAAUAUCCAUGAUGUUAAUGAUAUGCAAAGCUAUAAGCUUGGGGAUGCUAUGUUUGAUGAAGAUGAUAUUUUCACUCCCCCAAGUUUUGAUGAGCGAGUUUAUUAUGAUGAAAGCAUGCCUCCUAUAUUUGAUGAUUAUUGUGAUGAAAUGUAUGCUAUAAGGAAUAAUGAUAACCAUGAAACUUGUCAUCAUGAUUUUAAUUUUCACUCUCAUGAUAGUUAUUUUGUUGAGUUUGCUCCCACUACUAUGAAUGAGAAUAAGUUUGCUUGUGUGGAGAGAAAUAAAUUUUCAAUGCUUGUGGAUCAUGAAAAGAAUGAUUUAUGUGAUAGUUAUAUUGUUGAAUUAAUUCAUGAUGCCAUUGAAAAUUAUUAUGGGGGAGGAACAUAUGCUUGUAGGAAUUGCAAUAAUAUCAAGUUUUCUCUCUAUGUGUUGAAAGUUUUGAAGUAUUGCUUGUUUUGCCUUCCUAUGCUAGUUCAUUCUUAUUCCGAUAAAUUGUUUGCUCACAAAAUCCCUAUGCAUUGGAAUAGGUUUAGGCUUAAAUGUGCUUGCCAUGUGAUUCAUGAUGCUCUUUUUCAUGUUUCAAUUCUUAUCUUUUAUGCAAGCAUCAUUGAAAUCAUCAUGCCUAGCUAAAAGGCAUUAAAGAAAAGUGCUUGUUGGGAGGCAACCCAACAUUUUUACCUACUUUUUUUGUGUGUUCACAUGAUUAUGAUACCUUAGAAAUCAUGUUUUAUUGCUUUUGUUUCAAUAAAGUGCCAAGUAAAGCCUUUGGGAUCAUGUUGGGUGAUAGUUGAUUUGAUCUUGCUGAAAAACAGAAACUCUUGCACUCACGAAAAUAGCUCCCAUUUUUAACAGAAGAGUGCUUCUGAGUUGACUCUUUUUGCAGAAGAUUAAUAUACAAAUUUCUCACGUGGUCCAAUUUUUUUCAUAAUUUUUGGAGUAGCAUAAGUAUGGUUUGAGUACAGAUUCUAUAGACUGUUCUGUUUUUGAUAGAUUAUGUUUUCAAUGCAUAGUUUGCUUGUUUCCUAGUUUCUAUGGCUUCUAUUGCUCAAUAUAAAUUGUGGAAAUUAUAUGCUACAGUAGGAAUUGUGUGGAAACAAUUAUGAAUCUUGUCUUUGACAGUAACAAAAGUGAAAUGGUUUGCUCUUUAGCAUACUAACCUAUCUCACAAGGUUCCGUUAAGUUUUGUGUGAUUGAAGUUUUCAAGUUUUGGGUGAGAUGUCUGUAACAUCCCAAAAUUUUCAAUUUGGAAUGUUAUACAUUAGAUUAUCAUUGCAUAUCAUAUUUUAUUGCAUUUUGGCUUGAUCCUAGAAACUUCAUGCAACUCAAGGACACACGGAGAGAGUUGGAGAUUUCGUUAUUUUCAUAUUUGAGUUUUCUCAAAUUUUGAAAAUAGGAUCAUUUGAUUUUAAUUAUUUUAUCUUCGAAUAUUUCUUAUACAAAAAUAAAAGAGAGGGAAUAAAAUGACUUUCCCAAAAUAAAGAAAUAUUGAGGAUUUAGUAAUAAAAUCAAAUAAUAUUUUUAUUCCAGAGUUUAUCAAUAUUUUAUUUGAAUUUAGGAAAAAUGUGUGUUUUUCAAAAUUGCAUUUUAGGCCCAAAUAAAUGUUCAUCUAGGCCGGCUUAUUUUUAGAGGACGGGGAAAAUUUAUUUCGGGAUUUUUCGAGUCCGUUUAGUAUUUCUUUUCUUUCUUUUUCUGCACGUCCGAAUUGUUUAAAAAACGAACCGACUGGGGCCGCCGUGGGCGACCCGGACUUGUCCGCCGCCCGGCUUUAUAAGCCGCCCCACCCCGCAGGCCCACUCCAGCCCGCCUCACCCCGCAAACCCUAACCCUAGCUGCGUCGUGNNNNNNNNNNNNNNNNNNNNNNNNNNNNNNNNNNNNNNNNNNNNNNNNNNNNNNNNNNNNNNNNNNNNNNNNNNNNNNNNNNNNNNNNNNNNNNNNNNNNNNNNNNNNNNNNNNNNNNNNNNNNNNNNNNNNNNNNNNNNNNNNNNNNNNNNNNNNNNNNNNNNNNNNNNNNNNNNNNNNNNNNNNNNNNNNNNNNNNNNNNNNNNNNNNNNNNNNNNNNNNNNNNNNNNNNNNNNNNNNNNNNNNNNNNNNNNNNNNNNNNNNNNNNNNNNNNNNNNNNNNNNNNNNNNNNNNNNNNNNNCCGCCGCCGCCCAUGCCGCCGCCAAAGGUAGCACCCAUGCCGCCGCCGAUUUUCUUUGAAAAACCGUUGGUUUUUCUUUAGGAACCGCGGUUCAUUUUUUUUAUAGGUCGGUUUAGUUUUUUCGGUUUAUUUAUAUUGCGGACGUUCGUCCGUACGUUCGUUUUAAUGAACGGUUUCCGUCGAUUAGCCGCAGACAACAAACAUUCGUUCGUUAGCCUGUUCGUCCAUUUUUUUCUCGGAUUUUCCGCGAUUAUUUCCGAUCGCGAUUUCUCAUCUGAUUUUCAUUCUAGUAUAACUUUUUGCUUGUUUAUCGGGAUCAGGCGAUUCAAGCGCCUAGAGUUUCGUCUUGAAACCCUCUUUCCAUUUAACCAACUCAAACAAGUUUUUGCUACUGUAAAAUUUGACUUAGGUCCAGAUUAGUAAAUAAAGCUUGUUUCUUUCGCCAUUUGACUUUCGUUGCUUCAUUUGGUUUGAUUCUUUUUGCAAACCAGAGUUCUUAAGUUGAACUUUUUGGUUAGAUCUCUUAUUUGCGUUUUAUGCGUGCAUUAGAUGAGUGCUUAUUGUAUGCUUGUUUGUUUGCGAUAGAGUACCCGGAGUGGGCCGCUUGCUACUACGAGUCUCUAGGUUUCACGGAUCAUCAGCAAGGCAAGUAACACUUUGAUCAUACCUCUUUACUACCUAGUUUUAUUGCAUUAGAUCAAUCCUCAAACAAUUGCAUGAUUAGGAUUUGAUUAACAUGUGGGUUUUGGGAAGUAGAUGAGGUAGAACCUAUUACCUGUUUUAUUAUCAAACCUUUGGGAGUUACAUCUACGUUUGCUUAUAUCGCUAUGCUAUGCUAGUAGACGUGGGUUGGGUGAGUGUAUCCAUGACAGAUGUGAGAUUGUUAAGUAAUGUUUUACUUAAGGUGACAACUUUAAUUCACAUCUGGGUGGAUUGAGGCACCUGGGGAACCCAGUGUUGCCUGUAUUUUUGGAAAUCCCGGGGUACCGUGUGAUUCUCCUAUGGACCGCCACCCAGGCUCAAAGGGAUCAUGAGAUUAUUCAUGCUAGAAACUUCCGUGUGCAGCCGCAAGCUACUAUGGGCUCUAGCAUAGUUGAUUAAGUCGUGUGAACUCUUACAGUGGUAGACUAGCAGAUGUAGGGGAAAGUAGGUGUAACUGUCUACCCAUCGUAAGGUGCAAACGCUUCUGAAAGACUGUGUCUCGGUCAUCCCUUUCUCAAACAUCAUGUAGUGCGAGAAAUCCAAUGGAGGAUAUUGAGUCUUGCGGGGAAAAGUGCGCAAACCUCUGUAGAGUGUAUAAACUAAUCAUGGUUAGCCGUGUCCCCGGUUAUGGACGUUUUGAGUAUCUAGUACCUGGAUUAUCAUGUGAAUCUCAUCAUGUUACUUUAAUUCAAUUUGUUGGGUUUUAAUGAUGAUGCUUAAUUGGGAUUGAGUUGGGUGAACCUUCUCAAUGUUUAACAACCACCAUGAUAGUUAAAUAAAAUUUAUUCCUUUGUUGUAGGGGAAAAUUGGCUUUAUGCAAAACUGUAACCAUAGAGCUUUCCACCAGCCAUAUAUGCAUGUAGUGAUAGCACUAUUCUAUUCAUUACUCUCUAUGUGUUACAUUGCCAGCAUAUUCCAUGUGCUGACCCAUUUUUGGGCUGCAACAUUCAUGUUGCAGACUUUUCAGACGACGAGUAAGGUGCCUUAGGUCGUGGUCUUAUACUCAGUGAUGCCGUUGGAGUUGAUGGACUCGCUUAUCUUCCAAGCCUUCAGUUGUUAUCGUUAGUAGAUGGCCUUAAGCCAUAUUUAUUGUAAUAAGUUCUCUUUUGAGACAUUCGAUGUAAUAAGUGUGUGAUUGCUACUCUGUUAUAAAUCCUUCAAGUAUUGUGUGUGUCAGCAUUACCGAUCCAUGGAUGACACUGAUGCACAGAGAUCAGACUGUUUGAGGUCUGGUCGCUACAAGAUGGUAUCAGAGCACACGUUGAUUGUAGGACACGACCACUAAGCUAAAGCCCUAGAUCACUACUCUCUUCUCAUUUCUGACUCCUCACCUUUUCUACUCUUUAGGAUGGCGGAUGCAAGGAACAAGUUCAUGCAAUUGGAUGAAGAUACACCCUUUGGACGCCACUUGAAGGAAGUCACUAGGUACCUGAACAUUGGAGUGCCACGCUUCAUCGGGACCUACAUCGCCACUUUACCCGAAGAGGAGCGUUGGAUGAUUCAAGUUCAAGUUCCAGGAAGGACGUUCAUGCCCAUCACUGAGCCCAUAGAGUUUUCCUUUGAUGCACCAACCUGGAGUCUAGGAAAGAGCAUGGCAGCCCACAUCACCAUGGGACGCAUUGGAGAAGUUUACCAUAAGGAUCUCAAGGAUACUAUUUACCAGAUUUGUGGGCGCCGAGAUGAGCAAUGGGAGAUGAUCAGUUCCAGGAAGGAUAGAUCAAUUGUAGCUUUCAUCCAGGAGCUAAACCAGCACAUUCGUCGCCAGAAGAACCAGAUGUGCGCAGGCAUGAUAGAUCUGAAGAAGGCAUUGACCAAGAUCACGGAGCUGGAAGAAGAACUUAAGUCUACACGCGAUGGUUAUGAGGAGGAAAUGACGACACUCAUGGAGAAGAAUGAUGAUCUGAAGAAGAAGCUAAAGGUAUUCAUGGGAUUCCCCGUGACUAGAGGAGAAGAUUAUGAUUGCACUUGCCCGGAGAACUGCAUCAUCAUCGACGACACCGACUCGGACCCAGACGAUAACGAUGAUGACUUUGUUGAUGAAGCUGGAGCAGAUAUCAUGGAGUCCUCGACCAAUCAAUUUUUCUAGUCGACCACCAUCAAUAGUAGUAUUCCCCAUGUAUAUAGUAUAGUCCGAGCACUUUUGUAAUGAUAGUUAGACCAUUGUAUGCCCUUGUUUGAAUUGAUUGAUGUGAUAUUGAUUGCAUUUGUCUCAUGUGCAUAUGGGUAGUGUUAUUCUCUCUAGACCUCAUUCUAUUCUAUAUUCUCAUCUUUUCUAAACCCUCAGAUGCCUCCGAGACGUGACAAUGGAUUUGCUUUCCCACCGGAGCUCACUCAGUUGAUCCAGCAGUAGAAUGCAUUGAUGCAUAUGCUAGUCCAGAAUCAGAAUUAGGGGAACAACAACAACAACAACAACAACAACCCACCACCACCACCACCUGAUGAUCACUUAGCCCGUUUCUUAAGGCUAAAUCCGCCGGUGUUCUCUAGCAGCACCGAGCCGAUAGUUGCAGAUGAUUGGCUCCGCAAGAUGGGAAGGGAGUUGACCACUGCAGGAUGCACAGAUGCGGAGAAGGUGCAUUUUGCUGCACAUCAGCUUGAUGGACCCGCAGCAUCAUGGUGGGAGAAUUUCAUAGCCACUUAUCCCAUCGACACUGUCAUAUGGGACCAGUUUCAGCAGGCUUUCCGUACUGCUCAUGUUUCAGCAGGAGCUAUGGCCAUGAAGAAGCGUGAGUUUCUUAACUUGCGCCAAGGAGGAUGUACAGUUGGCCAGUAUGUGGAUGACUUUAGUAAGCUAGCAUGCUAUGCCCCAGUUGACGUUGCUACGGAUGCAGCUAAGCAGGAGAAGUUUCUGGAAGGACUGAAUGAUGAGCUGAGCAUGUAGUUGAUGGUGGCAACCUUCAACAACUACCAGGAGUUGGUAGAUAGAGCUCUCAUGAUUGAAGGGAAGUAGCAGCAGAUUGACAACCGCAAGAGGAAGUAUGGACAAGGGAAGUACAAUUCUGGAGCUCAGCAGAAGCCUCGUUUUACCCCGAACUCGGGAGGACCUUUUCAGCAUACCCAUGGAGGAGGGAGUUUGCACAACCAUAGUGGCCCCAAGAAUGGGAAUGGGAAUGGAGGAAGCAACGACCAUAACCGUACCAACCCAUCAACCCCAGCCAAGAAGGAUCUGAGCCACGUCACUUGCUAUAAAUGCCAGAAGACUGGACAUUAUGCCAAUGAGUGUCCUGAAGCUAAGAAUGGAAACGGCAAUGGAAGCUCUGGGAAGAAGCCGAGCCCUUUCAACAGGGGACAGGUGAACCACGUUAACGUGGAGGAGGUUGAAGCCCAGCCGGAUGCAGUAAUAGGUAAGUUUUCGGUUAAGUCAUUUACUACAAUCGUUCUUUUUGAUACUGGAGCAUUGCAUUCAUACAUAUCAAGGGGAUUUGUGGAUAAGUAUAAGAUGCCCACUAAAGUUCUUAGGACACCUAUGUUAGUAAGCUCACCAGGAGCGGAGCAUGUGGCAAGUCAAGGAUGUUUUCAAGUGCCAUUGACCAUAGGUAGGCAUGUUUUCCCCUCGGAUUUAAUCAUUGGAGUCACAAGGUUUGGAUGUGAUUCUGGGUAUGGAUUGGCUACCGAUGUAUGGAGGAAACAUCGAUUGCGCUAGCAAGUCAAUUUUGCUUACCACCCCAGAAGGAAGAAGGAUUAAGUAUGUGUCACGGCUUGAACCGAAGAGGACUCAAGUGAAUUCCUUAUCAGGAGUUGUACAGGAGGAAGUACCAGUGGAGAAGGAUUUCCCUGUUGUAUUUCCAGAAGAGUUGCCAGGCAUGCCACCGGAUAGAGAAAUUGAGUUUCUGAUUGAGCUUUUGCCAGGCACAGGGUCGAUAUCUAAGAGACCGUACAAGAUGCCCGCAAAGGAUUUGGACGAAAUUAAGAAGCAGAUUAAGGAGUUACUGGAUAAAGGCUAUAUUCGCCCAAGUUCAUCACCUUGGGGAUAACCAGUGCUUCUAGUGGAGAAGAAGGACGGAUCUUUGAGAAUGGUUGUUGAUUAUCGAGGAUUGAAUGAAGUGACAAUCAAAAACAAGUACCCACUACCGAUGAUCAACGAUUUGUUUGACCAAUUGCAAGGAGCUAAGGUAUUUUCCAAGAUCGACCUGCGAUCAGGAUACCACCAACUAAAGAUUUGAGAGCAGGAUAUACCUAAGACGGCUUUUACCACCAGGUACGGGCUGUAUGAGUAUACCGUUAUGUCAUUUGGUUUGACUAACGCACCUGCCUAUUUCAUGAACAUGAUGAACAAAGUGUUUAUGGAGUUUUUGGAUAAGUUCGUCAUGGUGUUCAUUGAUGAUAUUCUGGUCUACUCGAAGAAUGAAGAGGAUCAUAAGGAGCAUUUGCGUUUGGUACUUGGGAAGCUCAGAGAACAUCAGUUGUAUGCCAAGUUCAGCAAGUGUGAGUUUUGGUUGAAGGAAGUUGGAUUCCUCGGACAUGUUAUAUCCGGAUAAGGAAUAGCAGUAGACCCCACCAAAGUUGUCACUGUGACAAACUGGGAAGCCCCAACAACAGUUGGAGAGAUUCGGAGUUUUCUUGGACUCGCAGGAUACUACCGAAGGUUCGUUGAGAAUUUCUCGAAGAUUGUGAAACCCAUGACGGAGUUGUUGAAGAAGAACACCAAGUUCAAAUGGACUGAGGAAUGUGAGGCCAGUUUCCAGGAGUUGAAGAAACAUUUGGUUACAUCACCGGUGUUGAUUUUGCCAGAUCAGCGCAAGGAUUAUGAAGUAUAUUGCGACGCUUCUCGUCGAGGACUUGGAGCAGUGCUUAUGCAGGAGGGAAGAGUUGUUUCGUAUGCCUCACGACACCUUAAGCCCCAUGAGUUGAAUUAUGCUACACAUGAUUUGGAGUUAGCAGUCGUAGUGCACGCAUUGAAUACAUGGAGACAUUUUCUCAUCGGAAACCAUUGUGAGGUGUACACAGAUCACAAGAGUUUGAAGUACAUCUUCACAUAGAAGGAGUUAAAUCUCAGGCAAAGGAGAUGGUUGGAUCUCAUUAAGGAUUAUGAUAUGAGAUUGCAUUAUCACCCCGGAAAGGCUAACGUGGUAGGCGAUGCGUUGAGCCGUAAGAGCCAUGUCAACACACUCAUGACCGGAGAGUCACCUAAGGAGUUAGCCGAGGAUCUUUGCGAGCUAUGUUUGGAGAUAGUUCCGAGAGGCUAUGUAGCAGCAUUGGAGAUUCAGUCUACUUUGAUGGACAAGAUCAGAGAAGCUCAGAAGUCUGACAAGGAGAUUGCUGAGAUAAAGGAGAAGAUGAGCAAAGGAAAAGCUAAAGGAUUUCGUGAGGAUGAGCAUGAUACCUUAUGGUUUGAGGACCGCGUUUAUGUGCCUAAUGACCCGGAGAUCAGGAAGUUGAUUCUGCAGGAGGCCCGUGAUUCGUCGUAUUCGAUUCACCCAGGAAAUACCAAGAUGUAUUUGGAUUUGAAGGACACUUUCUGGUGGACCGGAAUGAAGAAAGAUAUUGCGGAGUAUGUAGCAGUUUGUGAUGUAUGUCAAAGAGUGAAGGCACAGCAUCAGAAGCCAGCAGGAUUGCUACAGCCAUUCCCGAUACCCGAAUGGAAGUGGGAUAAGCUAGGCAUGGAUUUUAUUACGGGAUUGCCCAGGACUCGUUCAGGCUAUGACUCAAUAUGGGUUGUAGUCGAUCGUUUGACGAAGGUAGCUCAUUUCAUCCCAGUGAAGACCACUUACACCAGUGCUAAGUUGCCGAAGAUAUACAUGACCAGGAUCGUAUGUCGGCAUGGAGUUCCGAGGACCAUUGUAUCGGAUAGAGGAACCCAGUUUACCUCAAUGUUCUGGAAUCAGUUGCACGAAACUUUGGGUACCAAGCUAGAGUUCAGUACCGCCUUUCAUCCAUAGAUAGAUGGACAGACCAAGAGAGUCAAUCAGAUUCUGGAGGACAUGCUGAGAUCUUGUGCGCUAGAUUAUGGAUCUAGUUGGGCGAUAAUUUGCCAUAUGCAGAGUUCUCUUACAAUAAUAGUUAUCAAUCUAGUUUGAAGAUGGCCCCUUUCGAAGCUUUGUACGAAAGGAGGUGCAGGACACCGUUGUUGUGGGAUGAAGUUGGAGACCGUCAGUUGUUUGGACCAGAUUUGAUUAAAGAGUCUGAACAGAAGGUGAAGUUGAUUCGCGAUAGGCUCAAGGUAGCCCAGUCUAGGUAGAAGAGCUAUGCAGAUUCUAAACGCAAGGAGACAGCUUACGAAGUUGGAGACAGAGUUUGUCUUCAUGUAUCCCCACUUCGAGGAGUUAAGCGUUUUGGAGUUAAGGGAAAGUUAGCACCACAUUUUGUGGGACCAUACAAAGUUUUGGAACGUAUGGGAGAAGUUUCUUACAAGUUGGAGUUGCCCGAAGGAUUGUCAGGAGUUCAUGAUGUGUUCCAUGUUUCCCAGUUGAAGAAGUGCCACGCAGAGAUGGUUGAUAUACCGCCAAGAGAUACGGUGCCACUGGAAGCGAUUCAGCUGGAUAGUGAUUUGACCUAUGAGGAGAAAGCAGUUAAGAUUCUCGAAUUUGCCAGCCGAGUCACGCGCAGCAAGUUUAUCAAGUUUUGCAAAGUUUAGUGGAGCCACCAUAUCGAAGAUCUAUUGAAGGACCACCCUCACCUAUUUUCUAGCCAACCCGAAUCUCGAGGGCGAGAUUCAUCUUAAGGGGGUAGGUUUGUAACAUCCCAAAUUUUCAAUUUGGAAUGUUAUACAUUAGAUCAUCAUUGCAUAUCACAUUUUAUUGCAUUUUGGCUUGAUCCUAGAAAUUUCACGCAACUCAAGGACCCACGGAGAGAGUUGGAGAUUUCGUUAUUUUCAUAUUUGAGUUUUCUCAAAUUUUAAAAAUAGGAUCAUUUGAUUUUAAUUAUUUUAUCUUCGAAUUUUUCUUAUACAAAAAUAAAAGAGAGGGAAUAAAAUGACUUUCCCAAAAUAAAGAAAUAUUGAGGAUUUAAUAAUAAAAUCAAAUAAGAUUUUUAUUUCGGAGUUUAUUGAUAUUUUAUUUGAAUUUAGGAAAAAUGCACGUUUUUCAAAAUUGCAUUUUAGGCCCAAAUAAAUGUUCAUCUUGUGUGGCUUAUUUUUAGAGGACGGGAAAAAUUUAUUUUGGAGUCCGUUUAGUAUUUCUUUUCUUUCUUUUUCUGCACGNNNNNNNNNNNNNNNNNNNNNNNNNNNNNNNNNNNNNNNNNNNNNNNNNNNNNNNNNNNNNNNNNNNNNNNNNNNNNNNNNNNNNNNNNNNNNNNNNNNNNNNNNNNNNNNNNNNNNNNNNNNNNNNNNNNNNNNNNNNNNNNNNNNNNNNNNNNNNNNNNNNNNNNNNNNNNNNNNNNNNNNNNNNNNNNNNNNNNNNNNNNNNNNNNNNNNNNNNNNNNNNNNNNNNNNNNNNNNNNNNNNNNNNNNNNNNNNNNNNNNNNNNNNNNNNNNNNNNNNNNNNNNNNNNNNNNNNNNNNNNNNNNNNNNNNNNNNNNNNNNNNNNNNNNNNNNNNNNGUCGGAGGUAGCACCCGCGCCGCCGCCGGUUUUCUUCGGAAAACCGUUGGUUUUUCUUUAGGAACCGCGGCUUAUUUUUUUUAUAGAUCGGUUUAGUUUUUUUUCCGGUUUAUUUAUAUUGCAAACGUUCGUCCGUAUGUUCAUUUUAACAAACGGUUUAUAUCGUUUAGCCGCAGACAGCGAACGUUCGUUCGUUAGCCUAUUCGUCCGUUUUUCUUUUUCUCGGAUUUUCCGCGAUUAUUUCCGAUUGGGAUUUCUGAUCCGAUUUUCGUUCUAGUAUAACUUUUCGCUCGUUUAUCGGAAUCAGGCGAUUCAAGCGCCUAGAGUUUCUUCUCGAAACCCUCUUUCCGUUUAACCAACUCAAACAAGUUUUUGCUACUAUAAAAUUUGACUUAGGUCCAGAUUAGUAAAUGAAGCUUGUUUCUUUCGCCGUUUGACUUUCGUUGCUUUGUUUGAUUUGAUUCUUUUUGCAAACCGGAGUUCUUAAGUUGAACUUUCUGGUUAGAUCUCUUAUUUGAGUUUUACCUGUGCAUUAGAUGAGUGCUUAUUGUAUGCUUGUUUGUUUGCGAUAGAGUACCCGGAGUGCGCCGCUUGCUACGACGAGUCUCUAGGUUUCACGGAUCAUCAGCAAGGCAAGUAACACUUUGAUCAUACCUCUUUACUACCCAGUUUAAUUGCAUUAGAUCAAUCCUCAAACAUUUGCAUGAUUAGGAUCUGAUUAACAUGUGGGCUUUGGGAAGUAGAUGAGGUAGAACCUAUUACAUGUUUUAUUAUCAAACCUUUGGGAGUUACCUCUACGUUUGCUUAUAUCGCUAUGCUAUGCUAGUAGACGUGGAUUGGGUGAGUGUAUCCAUGACAGAUGUGAGAUUGUUAAUUAAUGGUUUACUUAAGGUGGCAACUUUAAUUCACAUCUGGGUGGAUUGAGGCACCCGGGGAACCCAGUGUUGCCUGUAUUUUUGGAAAUCCUGAGGUACCGUGUGAUUCUCCUAUGGACCGCCACCCAGGCUCAAAGGGAUCAUGAGAUUAUUCAUGCUAGAUAAUUCCGUGUGCAGCACGAAAGCUACUAUGGGCUCUAGCAUAGUUGAUUAAGUCGUGUGAACUCUUAAGCGGUAGACUAGCAGAUGUAGGGGAAAGUAGGUAUAACUGUCUACCCAUCGUGAGGUGCAAACGCUUCUGAAAGACUGUGUCUCGAUCAUGCGUUUCUCAAACACCAUGUAGUGCGAAAAAUCCAAUGGAGUAGAUCAAGUCUUGGAGGGAAAAGUGCGCAAACCUCUGCAGAGUGUAUAAACUAAUCAUGGUUAGUCGUGUCCCCGGUUAUGGACGUUUUGGGUAUCUAGUACCUAUAUUAUCAUGUGAAUCUCAUAAUGUUACUUUAAUUCAAUUUUUUGGGUUUUAAUGAUGAUGCUUAAUUGGGAUUGAGUUGGGUGAACCUUCUCAAUGUUUAACAACCACCAUGAUAGUUAAAUAAAAUUCAUUCCUUUGUUGUAGGGAAAAAUUGGCUUUAUGCAAAACUGUAACCAUAGAGCUUUCCACCAGCCAUAUAUGCAUGUAGUGAUAGCAUUAUUUUGUUCAUUACUCUCUAUGUGUUACAUUGCCAGCAUAUUCCAUGUGCUGACCCGUUUUUGGGCUGCAACGUUCAUGUUGCAGACUUUUCAGACGACGAGUAAGGUGCCUUAGGUCGUGGUCUUAUACUCAGUGAUGCCGUUGGAGUUGAUGGACUCGCUUAUCUUCCAAACCUUCUGUUGUUAUCGUUAGUAGAUGACCUUAAGCCAUAUUUAUUGUAAUAAGUUCUCUUUUGAGACAUUCGAUGUAAAAAGUGUGUGAUUGCUACUCUGUUAUAAAUCCUUCAAGUACUGUGUGUGUCAGCAUUACCAAUCCAGGGAUGACACUGAUGCACAGAGAUCAGGCGGUUUGAGGUCUCGUCGCUACAAUGUCGAUAUGAAGAGAAUAAGGAGUGACAAGACCCUAAGCUUGGGCAUUCCCAAGGCACCCCCGUGGUAAUAUUAAAGGAAGACCCAAGCAACUAAGCUUAGGGAUACCCCAGAAGGCAUCCCCUCUUUCAUCUCCAACAUUAUCGGUAACCUCACUUGGAGGUUUGUUUUCAUUCGUCACAUGAUAUGUGUUUUGCUUGGAGCGUUAAUUUAUUUUGUUAGUAUUUGCUUUCUUUUGUCUAGAAUAAUGUUUUGCAUCUUUUAUUUCAAUAAAAGUGGCAAUGAUAGCCUUUGCCAUUCUUAUUUUGCAAGUAUACAUGUUGCUGUUUCAAAACAAAAAGUUUAUCAGUGUUGCAAAAAUUCCCUAGAAAAGGCAGAACAUGGCAAAUUGUUGAAACUUUUUGCAAAAUAAGCUCUGAUAAAUUUCCUACAGUGUGGUAUUUUUUCAUAAUUUUUGGGGUUAGGGAAGUAUUAUGAAUCUUGCAUUCUUUACAGACUGUACUAUUUUGGCAGAUUGUUGUUAUGUUUGCAUUGUUUGCAUAUGUUUGCUUGUUUAAGGAUUCUAUUUGAGGAUAGGACUAUUAAAUAUGCAGAGGCAUUUAGUAUGCAAUGUUGCAUAGUAAUUUUAGUGAUUUUCUACAGUAGAGAAUGAUAAGGUUUUACAUUGGUUUAUACUAACUUAUCUCACAAGUUCUUGUUGAGUUUUCUGCGGAUGAAGUUUUUGAGAUUUAGGGAAGCCGUGAUAUGAGAGGAAUUAAGGAGACACAAAAGAUCAAGCUUUGGGAUGCCCAAGGCAUCCCAAGCUAAUAUUCUAAGAAGUCUCAAGCAUCUAAGCUUGGGGAUGCCCCGGUAGGCAUCCCACCUUUCUUCUUCAACAAUUAUUGGUUAGUAUCGGUUGAGCCUAAGUUUUUGCUUCUUCACAUGAGUUGUGCUAUGCUUGGAAUGUCAUUUUGUUUUGUUUUGCUUGCUGUUUUAAUAAAAUACUUAGACCUGAUUUUUUUAAAUAAAAUAGAGUCCUCAAUUAGUUUCCAGGGAGGCUAGGUAAGCGACAUUUACAUCCCGUCAACGAAGCUCUUUUCUAUGGAAUUGCUCUAGUGCUUCACUUAUAUCCUAUGAGUGAAUUGUUGAAUAAAUUGAAUGUCAUGAAGUUGAAAUCAUAUCAUGCCUAGUGGUAGCUUCACAUUGGGUUUAGAAAGUGAAAUCUUUUGAGGCUUGACAAUCACAAUAUUGGUCAUACAAGCAAUUCACGAAUAAUUAGUAUAAGGAAGAGAACUUUCACAUAUAAAUACACUAUCCUAGAAAUCUUUUGUGAUUGUGAGCCCACAUCAAAAUAUUAUAUGCCAAAAUUGUUGAUGUUGGACAAGGAAGACAGCAUAAUGGUUUAUGUUUGUUCAUAUUCACAAUGAAGUUAUAUUUUCAUAGAUCCUUCAACAUGUGGUGCUUGCCCCCUAUCUUUGCUAUUCAAAAAUUCCGCACCAAGUAGAGAUACUACUUGUGCAUCCAAAAACCCUUAAACCCAAAUCUUAUUUUCAAGUGUCCACCAUACCUACCUAAGGGUUGAGCAAUAUCCUUCAAGUAAGUUGUUAUCGGUGCAAUAAGGCAAUAAAAAUUGCUUCGAAAAGUGUUAGAUCAUUUAGUGUGAGAGAAAAUUGAGCGUUGUACGAACUUAUGAUGGCAAAGCAAUUAAAGCGACGGACUGCAAUAUAACGUAACAUUCUUUUGCACUAAGGGAUUGGGCAUACAAAUAAAUAAGCGUCUGGCAACCUCUGCUUCCCUCUGCGAAGGGCCUAUCUUUUACUUUUCAGUAUUUACUUUUAUGCAAAGAGUCGAAGUUUUUCUCUCUAUUCCUUUUUAUUUCUCUCCUUUGGCAAGCAUCAUGUGCUUAGGAAAGAUCUAGGAACAUAUGUCCAGUUGAAUAUGGGUAGCAUGAGUUAUUGUUGUUUACAUCACCCAAAGGAGAAUACGUUGGGAGGCGAAAUUAUAAGCCCCUGUCUUUCUAUGUGUCUGGUUGAAACGUUUUGCUCAUGUGUAUGCGGUGAGUGUUAGUAUCAUAGAAGACAAUAAGAUGGUUGAGUAUGUGGAGCUCUUACUUAGACUCUGUUGAAUAAGUUGAAUUGCAAUUGCUUGGUGACUGAGAACAUAGGUUGUUGAGUUUCAAGAGAGUUCAUUGUUUGAACCUUAACAUGUGGAUUGGUUGCUACUAUAAGAAUGAGAAGUUUUAUAAGAAAGAACUGUUGUUAUGAUGCUAGAAAAAGUGGUUGAAAUUAUCAUUGAUCAAACUUAUGCACUUUGCUAGCAUUCACACUUCAUAAAUUAUUUCUUUUAUCAUUUACCUACUCGAGGACGAGUAGGAAUUAAGCUUGGGGAUGCUGAUACGUAUCCAACGUAUCUAUUAUUUAUGAAGUAUUUAUGUUGUUAUAUUAUCAUUCUUGGAUGUUUUACAAUUAUUUUAUAGCAACUUUAUAUCAUUCCCAGUGCCCAGUGCCAGUUGUUGUUUCUUUCUUGUUUUUUACAUCGCAGGAAAUCAAUAUCAAAUGGAGUCCAAACACCGCAUAACUUUUUGGAGAUUUUUUCUGGACCAGAAGGAACCCAAUGGGCCUGUGCUGCACCUAGGGGUGCCCUAAGGGGGGCACAACCCAUCAGGGCGUGCCAGGCCCCCUGGCACACCCAGGUGGGUUGUGCCCACCUCGGUGGCCUCCCGCACCCCCUCUUUCCACUAUAAAUUCCCAAAUAUUCCGAAACCCUUCGGGGUUAACCUAGAUCAGAAGUUUCGCCGCUGCAAGGUCUCUGUAUCCAUGAAAAUCAAUCUAGACUCCGUUCCAGUAGCUUGCCGGAGGGGGGAAUCAUCUCCGGUGGCCAUCUUCAUCAUCCCGGCGGCCACCACGAUGAGGAGGGAGUAGUCCACCCUCGGGGCUGAGGUUUGUACCAGUAGCUAUGUGUUUGAUCUCUCUCUCGGGAUCUAUAUCAUGGGCUUUGUUAAUAUAGUCGGAUCAUAUGAUGUUUCUCCCCUCUAUACUCUUGUUAUGACGAAUUGAAUCUUUACCCUUGAAAGUUUUGUCUUGUCAAAUUGAAUAUUCAGAGAUGAGAACACAUGAUAUAUGUCUUGCAAUAUGAAUACUUGAGGUGACAAUGAGGUAUCUUAUUGAAUCACUUGAUAUGUGUUAUGGCAUUCAACUCGCAGAUUCCCGCAGUGAUAUUGGGGUAAUCUAUGCAUAGGGGUUGAUGCACGUUUUUCUAUGACGGAAACUUUGGGGUCUCUUUAUAGUUCUUUGUGUGGAUUGAGUAUUAUGAAUAUGUAUUUGCUUUGGUGUUAUUCUACUACGAACUCUAGGAUAGAUCGAACGGAAAAAUAGCUUUGUGUUAUUUUAGUACGAACUCUUGAAUAGAUCGAACGGAAAGAAUAGCUUUGAGGUGGUUUCGUCACCUACAAACAAUUCCUAUCUUUUUCCGCUAAUAGGAACUCGGGAGUGAUUCUUUAUUGCACUUUGAGGGAUAAUCAUAUGAUCCAACUAUGUUAGCAUUGUUGAGAUGUUGCACUAGCGAAAGUACGGACCCCAGGCCUCAUUUUAUAAGCAUUGCAACACUGUUUUUGUGCCCGUUUACUAUUUUCUAACUUGUUGUUUUUAUUUAUUCAGAUUAUAAAAAUAUAAUUCUACUAUCCAUAUCACACUUUUAUCACCAUCUCUUCGCCGAACUAGUGCACCUAUACAAUUUGCCAUUGUAUUGGGUGUGUUGGGGACACAAGAGAUUUCUUGUAUUUGCUUGCAGGGUCAUUUGAGAGAGACCAUCUUCAUCCUACACCUCUCACGGAUUGAUAAACCUUAGGUCAUCAACUUGAGGGAAAAUUGCUACUGUCCUACAAAAGUCUGCGCUUGGAGGCCCAACGCAUGUCUACAAGAGUGAAGUUGCAUAGUAGAUAUCACUCCUAACCCUUCUUCCUCACCUCUUCUUCUUCCCCAACAGACCACCGCAUGGGCCGUACGGAUCUUCCCCAACAUGCGAUUGGAUAAACAUACUAUAUGAACGAAAAUUAUGUGUCAGCGAUAGGAUGGCUGAGUUUGGAUUGAUCACAUGCGGUAGCACGUUUUCAGUGAGGGUGUGUUCCCUUGGUUGGGUUUGCGGCGUGCAGGAGCGACUAUGUGAGGGUGCGGUGCGACCGCGACAGCCGUGCGCAAGUGUACCUCCUUUUCAUUUUGAAAACUUUAGGCAAGCUUGGCAAAAAUGUGUGGUGAAGUAUGGCAAUGCAAGGCCUAGAUCCAAACAGGAUACAAGUACGUACGUAGGAGUACUACUUGUGUUAAAAAAGAAAGGUGGGGUUUUCCUUCGCGGGAUUGAUCGAUACAAAUCCUUGUUUUACAUGUCAAUUAAUUCGUAUUUUUUUCUCCAAUGCCCAAAGAGCUAACCAUCUCACUCCUCAUCGCUUGAUUAAUGCAUCGCCAUGCAGACAAACCUUCUCACUUCCGCAUGCAGGCAAGGGUAUGUUAAUGUCCUUGGUUGCUAGUACGAGGCAAACCCCAUCAAUUUUGCCUCGAUUAGUGUUAGUGGCCUUCUGCAAAUUGUAGUUUUGAUAUACUAGCCUUGUGUACAAAAAAAUGGAGGUAGUAACUAUUUGAAUUCCUUCCCCAUUGCGGUGACAUCGACGACAUCUCAAAUGUUGUGGUUUGGCAAAGUGCGUUCAAUAGAGAACACCAUUGAGGGAGACCAUGGAAAGUCGUUCGCAAGUGCCGCCUGCAAGCCGAGACAACCGCCUUAUAUGCAUCUAGUAAGUCCAUUGAACCAAAGGACGCGUAAAUGUACUAGUACUACACAAUAGCAUCGUCCGUCACAGAUAUUGAUUGUGAAUCCCACGGAGCUCCCACCCACCCAUGGCGACUCCCACGGCGCUCGUUGCUCCUACCUCUAGGGUUCCCGUCGGAGUACUCCCAUGGACGGCCUCAUCCAUUGGGACUUCUCCCCUGUCGUCGCAGUCGAGGCAUAGGUGCGUGCUUGGUUCGGAUCUACGGUUCACUUUGUUUACGGACCAAAAUCCAAGGAAUUUUUCUUGGAAGUCUACUUCUCAUCUGCCUCCUUCCUCUCUCGGAAGUAUGUGUGGGACUCGCCCUUCAAUCUUGUAUUGGUGGACUCAGUUCUAGGUUUAAGGUUUGCCGACUAGCUGAUCGGAGGUUCCGGUUUUUCGUGGCCUCAAACCGUGUGGGUCAUUUGUAUAUGGUUUAUUUGUCAUUUUCAUCUCCAUCGACAUGCUAAACCAUCCAUGAGCCGCAAUGCAUGGCAUGCGGAUGUGGAACUUGCGGGUCUAGCUUCUUCCCCGGGCCCGGCCAUCAAAUCUAAAUGGCUAUCUUCUAAGGCCAAGGCUCCAAUUGCUCCUUCUUCGGUGAGGGUCUUUGAAUAGCUGGGCAUCUUCUCAUCACCGACGGCGAGCUAUCCCGGUGAUCAUUCUUCGAUGCCAUUGAUUCAUUUUGGAAAGUUUAAUGUCCCGAAUUUUCAGGAUCAGCAGACGGUUUUUCGAAUCAGAUCUUUGGAUAUGCAGGUUGUUUCCCAUUAUGCGGCCAGAUUGCCUUACUUUCAGGGUGCUCGUUAUCUAGUAGGUAUUUGGGAUUCUAUUCAUGCGGAUAAAUUGUUAAUUAUUCUUGAUGGCUGGCAAGCGGGCUAUUCUAAUGAGGAUAUCAAACUGAUGACUGAUAUUUUGGAUAUAUAUAUAUAUAUAUAUGCCUCAAACAUUGCUCCCUUUGUGACCGUCUAGGUCACCCUCCUCAGGAUUGCACUGGUAUUUUCUGUAAGAAAUGUGUUGAUACUUCUGGUAACUGUACAUGUUUGGAACAAUUCUAUAAGGAGUCAAGUGGGCCAUGCAUAUUGGGCAAGGCCUUUGAGGCUCAAAUCUGCCAGGUUUCCUCCAAGGUUGGUCACUCGGCCUCGGACUGCCCUGGCUCCCGUAGAUGUCGGUUUUGUCACCUUUUGGGCCACAGAGGCUCAAAGUCUGUCAUGUGUGCAAAAUAUAAAAAUCAUUAUUGCUGGGUUCCUAAAAUCAGACCAAGUUCAUCUAUGGUGGUCUCUCAUGUGAGGCCGUUGGCAAAGGAUCACAUUAAUGCUGGUGUUGCCCGUGUAUCUAGGAGUAUCUCUCUGCAGCAGGUAGGAAAAGAGAAACAGAAAAUCCCGUAGUGCUCGGAUGUGAAAAUAUUCGAUUGCUUGCUUUCGCCUCCCUGGUCAGAGGGCACUCUUUUCCUCCUGUCAAAACCCCCAAUCAAGCUCUGUUCCUUCCACCUCGAGCUCAACACCUCAAUCUUCCCUUGCAAGCCAGUUGCCUCCUUCGCUUCAAUUUGGUUCAUCCUCUGGACCAGCAACCCAACCGACCAUCAUCAUGGCGAACAUCCUAGUUCAUCUAUUUGCCUUUGUGCUGGCGGGAUCGUCCUUUGAAAGAGGACCAGAUCAUCGGGUUCAGAGGUAGAUCAUGGUGGUCGAUGACCCACCACUCAAUCACAAUAGGUACGCCAUUGUUACUGUUGACCCUCCUAUUCCUGAUCAUCAGAAGGAGAUGUGGCUGGCUUAGGUUUGCCGUAUUAUCAUAGAGGAUCUUGAGUAUGAGCUUUUGGAUGGUCUUUUGUACCCUCUUGGGAUAGGUUGUGUUUUGUUCUCUGAUAUGGAAAAUAGAGAUGCUGCGAUUAGAGAGGGACCUCAUGCUCUGAUGGAUGAUUCCAACUUCUCUCUGGUUCCGCAUGAUGAAGGGAUUAAUAUGCGCAUGCCUGCUUUUGAAUAUGAAGUUUGGGUCAUGUUUUUAGCUUUUCGAUGGAUUAUUAGACUGAGCAUUAUAUCCAUAAAGUUGUGUCUCAUUUCGGGAAACUGUUGGUUUGGCCACACCCUGGGCACAACAAAGCGAGAGUCCUGGUCAAGUGUCACAUUAAGGACAUUGCUAAAGUCCCUCAGUCUUUUGAUCACCAGAGUUGGUAUGCUACCUGGGCUUGGACGUUCUUGGUCAGUUCCUGUUUAUGUUCUUAAUGGUAGAAACACAAUAUCUGGUCUAGUUGGUACUGAAGAGGCUCCUCCCCUGCUUAAUGCUUCUCCUCAUCCAUAUGAAUUGCCCUAUUACACACUUCUGCAGCAAGCUAGGAUUAAGGAGAUCGAGGCUCAAAAUGCUAUUAAUAAUGUUGCUUGGGAGGCUCAUGCCCCUACUCAAGAGGAACUGUAGGCAAAUGGGUGGAGGAUGUGGCCAGUUAUACCUCCACCUUACUCUGGUUUCAUUUUCAGAAGCUUCUUUCAGUAUGAUGGCCCAUCUCUGAUGGAUGGGAUAUACCCUGAACAUAAUGUAACUGAUAACUUGUCUGAUGCGUGGUCCUCUGCGUCUGAGGUUGAGUCGGUGGAGGCCGUGGCUGAUGCUUUUGUUAACGGCAAUCCUGCUGCUCGGAUGUUGUUCUUCAAAGCAGGAGGUGCUUCGGUCACUAUUGUUGUUGUCUCUGAUGUUGAUCUUCUUCUUUGGAUGGGACAGAUGUUCAAGAGGAUUUACACACCUGCUUUGGUGGAAAAUCCUUUCAUUGGAGGUGUUAUCUUUCCUCUGAACCCAUUUGAAAUCAUCAGAGACCAUUUACAGAGUUUGGGUCAGUUUAUGAGGGAUUUGCUCUUCCCUAAACCUGAUUUUCUCUCUAAGAUCUUUGCAACAAAGUUCAUCAUUGGGGCGCGUCAUUCAGUUUGCUGCAGUUGACUUGGUGGUGGUGGACCGAUCACAGGACCUGACUGAUGUAGCCUCUUCUACUCAGGGGAAGGCACUGCAAGUUCUAGCUUCUUCCUCCAAUGUUGUUGCGGCUUCCUCACGUAAAAAUAAAGUGCCUUUGGACUUCAAUGCUGUCAGGCACAGUACUCGUACUAACAAGUAAGAUGGUUUUAAGCUCUGUCAGAUCAAUGAUACCAAGCAGACUAAGUCUAGGGUCUAGCCACGUGUGACUCCCAGUGUCAAGAUCACAUCCAUGGCUGCUGCUCCUAUGUCUGACAGAGAGAUCCCUCCACCGCCAAUGUCAGUUGAAGAAAUUCAUAGCAUGGGCUCACACUAUGGGAUUCCACCUAAAGAUAUUACUGAAGACAAGUUGCUUGAUGGAUAGUAGUCAGUUGCCCCAACUCUUCCCUCCGCUCUAGGAGAUGAAUAAGUCUUGGAACGUGCUUUCCUGGAAUAUCAGAGGGAUUAACUCCGAUAAGAAACUUUUGGCUUUAAGAAAUGCGAUUGAGUCCAGUGAUUGUGCGGUUAUUUGUAUUCAGGAAACUAAGCGGGAAUCUUUUGAUUUAGCUUUCGUUAAAACCUUCUUCCCUAAGCGCUUGGAUAAAUUUGUGUUUGCUCCCUCAUCUGGUGCAUCUGGUGGCAUUAUUACUAUUUGGAAUAGUUAUGUUUUCUCUGGCUCACUGGUAUGCGUCGGUGCUAUACAACCAGUUUUUAAACCCUUUCCGCGACGGCAUUUGGAACCAUCGCCAAGUGAGUGUGGGCGAUAGGGUGUCCUUCCCACACGACCCAAAAACCGUCGAGGAUAUGCCCUCCUGGCAGACACGCUCGGCAAAAUGAGGUCGUGAGCGACAGAGCGAGCAAAUACGAUUAUACAUAUAGUAGUGCUCAAAAAAUACAAUUAUACAGGUGAAAUUGUUUCCAGUCAUAAGUACAUCCCACAUAGUCAGUCCCCGCUGAACGUUUCCAUUCGUAUAUACAUCCCAUACAGUCACUCCAAGGAAAACGUUUCCUUUCGCAGGUACAUCACUCACAAUUUUCCCCGUUAAAUCGUUUGUGAUAGUGUUGCCAUCACACACAAUAUUAACAACUUUAUUGUUUGCAUUAUUGAAUGCAUCACACACGGUGCAUAGAAGAAAUUGUGUGGCAAAGACUGUCCAUCACACACAGUUUUUAUGUGGUAAAUGUUUGCGCAAGGUGGCCUAACACAAACAGUUUUGAAGAGAAUGUCAUGUGUCAUUGUUCAUCGAUCGAACACGGUUUAUUCCUAGAAACUGUGUGCAUUGCCCUAGGUCAUCUCCCAUGGUAUUUUCUCAAUAACCAUUUGCAAUAGAAAAAACCAAUUAUCAAGCUAAGUCGCCAUUAGCAGGCUAAUUGCCCUAUUAUUAAAUCCAUUUAUUAAUCUAAUUGACAUUCAUAUUAAACACAUGCUAUAUUUCAUUCCCAUAUUAAGGAAGUAGGAUUUCAUAAUUGAAAUACAUCAGACUACAACAUGAUAUUGCUUCAGCACUCAGCUACCCCAUUACACAACUGCACCAGCACCAAGUUUCACAUGAAACAUCUAGAACCUUUUGAAAUUAGCAUCAUAGACGGUACAUAGACAGAUGCAUCUCAUCGGGAAAAUUGUUGAAGCGGAAGGCGAAUAUUGAGCCUUCAUUGAUGUUGAAGGUCUUUGCAACUUUAGGCAAGUGCCUGUAGAUGAUUGACCAUCCGUCCUUCGUACUCUUCAGGAACACUUCAAUAUUGAACCAUGGGUGUUGUAUGAAUACCUUCCUCGCCUCCUGACCAUAUAGGUGGUUUGAGAGGUAAUCAUCAGUGAACUGCUUUGGAAAGGCCUGAAAACAAGGAUGUGCAUAAAUAUCUUCUCUAUAUUGGAAAUGGGGCAAGGGAAUAAAAAAGACAAGGUAUAAUAAUUAGUACCAUCCUGUAGUGAACUGAUGUCUUCUUCAUUGUGCAGACAAAGAUCUUGUUGUUUUUUGUCGCUAACUUCUUUAUCCAAACAAUCUUUCUGAGUUUCUUGACUUGACUGAUAUUCAUGGACAACUCAUUUCCCCAUAUGCAGAAAGGGUGGAAAAGCAGGUCAAAACCUCUGACAGCACGACCUACAUGUGCAAGACCAAAUUGUUUAAAACCUAAGUAUUAGAAUGGUUCCUGUAAUUGCACAAUAAUGUGCUAUUAGACAAAGGACCAUGCAUUUGCAAACCUCGAUUGUAAACCUCAGUGCUUCCCAUUGCUUACCUACAACACAUAUAAGGUAGUUAGUGAUCAGGUUAAGUGAGGGUUCGCAUGCUAUUAAUAAAAUAUGUUGAUGAAAAAUAAGCACAUUAUAGAUUCAUCAGAUUAAUUCAAGCCACAUGGAAAACCCAUUUAUCCAAACCAAGCAUGAUUAAGAACUAGGAAAUAUAGCAAUUGUAUAUGUUUCCCAUGUAUUAAGUGCAACCAAAUUCGAUUAUUCCUCACAUGCACAACAAUACAAAAUUCUACCCACGACAAUUGGACAUUGCAUUGCAGAAUUGAACCAAGCAGUUAACUAAACACCACAACAAAUGAACCAAACAUUAACUGAGCACCACAUUGCGCAAUAUAACAUACUCCUAAUAGAAGAUCAAACAGUUAACCAAACCAAGCAUGCUUAACAACUUGGAAAUAUAGCAAAUGUAUUUGUUUCUCAUGUAUUUAGUACAGCCAAAUUCGAUUUAUUUCUCACAUGGUAUACAAUAACUGAAUGCACCUACAACAAUUGAACAUCACAUUGCGGAAUGGAACAAAACAGUUUACUAAACACCAUAACAAAUGAACCAAACAUUAACUGAGCACCACAUUGCACAAUGUAACACAUACUAGAAGAUCAAAUAGUUAACCAAACCAAGCAUGCUUCACAACUUGGAAAUAUAGCAAUUGGAUUUGUUUCUCAUGUAUUUUGUAAAGAAAAAUUCGAUUUAUUUCUCACAUGGAAGACAAUACAAAAUUGCACCCUGAAGAUUGAACAUCACAUUUGCAGAAUUGAACCAAAUAGUUAACUGAACACGAUAACUAAUUAAUCAAAUAGUUAAUAGUGAUCACCAUAUUGCACGACAUAUAGAACAUAUACACUAGAGCAACAGAUUGCAUGGUAAAAGUAGAUAGCAUAAUUCACUAGAAUUUGUUAAGGAAAGGCAGUAGCUAGCAAACUGAACAUGGGUCCUUGUAGUGAGCUAGUAAGACAAGCUACUCCUCAUUGUCGGAGAUAUCGAUGACGAUUGGCUCCUUGGACAUGGAAGAUGGCGAGGCCUUCACAUCGUGGGAUCCCUCGUCGUAGUGGUGAGUUGCCUGAGCCGCUCUAGGAUAGCACGGGCUCUCGAGUUGAGGUAAGCACGGGCACGCUGAGAAUACACCUCGUAGUCUUCGUCGAAGGCACCGAGGGUGGCCUCGAGAAAACGCCACGAACUAUCGUUUAAAGCAACCAACCGUGUCACGCCGUCGGCGCGCGAGGCAUCGACGGUGGCCUCGGCGACGAGGUGCUCCUCCAAGAUCUGGGGGUCGGCACGAAAUGGCAGCCAUCGCGACCUCAUCCGCACGUGCGGCCACGAUUUGCUUGUUUGCCAAAUGCUCCUUGAGCUUCUGGCUAUACUGCAUGCACCAUGGCUUAGGGCGGUGCUUAUUUGGUGGAGGGGUCGGUGAUUUGGGUGGAAGGUGCCGCACCGGCGGUCGGGGCAUGUGGGAUGUGGAAGGAGGACGAGGAUGGGGGUCUGGUGUGGAUUACCUACCUCGAUAGAUGAGGCCGAGCAGCAUGAAGGAGGGUCGCCAGCGAGGGGGGCGACACUGCAAGCAAGGAGUGAAGGUUUCAACUUGGAAAGGAAGGCAGAAACAGGGGAAAUGUGGCUUUUGGUAAGGGGGAGGGGCGGGGAGGUAGAUAUUUCCGCGGAAGCCGAAAAUUUUGAAUCGGUUCAGCGAAAAAACUAGCACGCAAAGUGUCAUCAGACAUGAUCCCUUAUUCAGUACUGUGUACGAUAUGUGAACAUCACAAAUGAUUCAGAUAGCUUAACCCGUGUGUGAUGUUGGAACGUCAAAAAUUUUGGUUCCAAUUUCCCUAUUACAGUGGUCAUCCACGUCAUUGCAUAAUUUGGGUACACAAAGGAGACUACAGCACAUCCACACUUCUUAAUCGAGCAAGUUCAGCAAUUAAACAGAGCUAGGUGGCCUAAACAUUACUCUAACAAAUUAAAGACCGACGCUCUUAAUUAAACAAAACAAAGAGUACUACUACGGCUAGUGCUCGUCGAUCUCCGCCGCCUCCUCCAUGUCCAGCUCGCGCCCGACGGUCUCCUGGGGAAGGGGCUCCAUGACAUCCAUCGCACCAUACUUGGCGAGCAUCUCGGCAUCCAUGUCCGCCAUCUCUUUGAAAAAGGCCACCACGAGUUGGGCAUGGGAAGCCGCGAUCUGGACUUGGACGGGCUCUGUCAUCACAAGGUAUGCGGCGGAGGAACGGAUGGCUGCUCGAAUGCUCUCGGCGAUUGCCAACUCUUCGGCCGUGGGUUGCCGACCGUUGUCGGAGAAGCUUCGUUCGAUUUGUGCGGUGACCGCCACGAUCUAGGCGUGCGCGGCCUCGACAUGGUCAUGGGCAGCCUCCAUCAGGGCUAAGGUUGCCGCUGUGGAAUGGACAACUAUUGUGCCUCUCUCGCCAGUUGCUAUCCCCGGGGCAGAUGUUGCUGCCGCCACGUGAGAAGCAACAGCGGUCGUUUGGGCUGCCUUGGCCGCCCGAUCGCAGAUUACGGUCGCGCUCAUGCACCUUGUUAGCACGCGCAUGGCGGCUGCGGCCGCGCUCUCACCGGAGUGGGCCGCCGAACUUUCCCUCGUGACGCGGUUCCACGUCCCCAUCUUUCACCGGUGAUGAUUGAACAGUGAAAUGAUAUUUGGGGAGCGAGCUAGUGUGCUUGACACACCGCUGUGGACUGUAGCCAAUGCACCUUCUCGCGUAAGCCAUAGGCGUACUAUACACCAACCGUGAUCUAGGAUAUUUUGUACUACAUCUCACACGGUUGGUGAUAAUAAACUGUGUGCGAUCUACUUGAUUUUUCAUCUUGAUUUGAAUUACAUAAUGGGGUCACGGCUGCAAAGGAUGGUGUUUGAAUUGCUAGAACUUCUAUCUGUAGUGAACAUGCAACUAUAGGUGUGUCGUCAAAAAAAUUGGAAUUAUUCAGGGUUCGUUUGGACAUUUUUAUACAUUAACUUGGUUUUCCAGGCAUUUCAAGUGCACAAUUCAAAAUUAAACCACAUGCACAUGCUCCGGUGCACCAAAAUGGUUUGUAAAAUCAUAUAUGUGUCCAUGAGUUGAUGCUUAUGUCCCAUUCAAGAAAUGGGCAUAAAUUUCAAACACCACGGCAUCGUGGCUCUCCGGCAAACAUUAAGGUGCUUGCUUUUGUAAUUCUAGUAAAUACAAAACUCGUCUGAAAUUCAUGAACCUUGGCAUGCUAUCAUGGAACGGCAUCAAGAUGCUGGGGUAAAAAAAUAUUGUCCCAUUUGGGGCAAGUUAUGGUAUAAGCUUCUCGCAAACCAGAGCUUCUGUCACAACAAGCAUGAUGGUUUCGGUAGGGAACGUGCCACCUUGGGGGACAAAAUGAUAUAUGUUGCCUCUUCUUACUUUCAAAAAAUUUCUCGUGUCAACAUAGAACAACAGGCGCAUUGUGCAAUUUUUUGGGAUUUUUCGGUGUUCGCAUGGACAUUUUUAUAAAUUAACUAAGUUUUCUAUGCAUUCAUGUGCAUAAUUCAAAUUUGCAUUACAUGCACAUGCUCCAGUGCAUAUAAACAGGUUGAAAAAUCAAAUGUGUGUCCUUGGUUGCAACCUUAGGUCCCAUGCAAGAAAUGGGAAUGAAUGCCAAACACCUUUGCCACCGUUGCUCGGCUGCCAACAUUGAGAUACAUGGUUUUAAAAUUCUAGUAAAUCUAAAACUCGUCUGAAAUUCAUGAAACUUGACAUGCUAUCAUGGAACGUCAGCAACAUGCAGUGGUAAAAAUAUUGUCUCAUUUGGGGCAGGUUGGGGUAUAAUCUUCUCACAAAAGAGAGCUUCUCGCAACAAGCCUCAUGGUUACGGUAGGGAACGUUUCACCUUCCUGGACGAAACAAUAUCUGUUGCCUCAUCUUGAUUUAAAUUUUUGCUCUAGUGUCAACAUAGAACAACAGGAGUGUUAUGUUAAAUUUUGGAAUUUUUCGGAGUCCGUUUGGACAUUUUUAUGUAUUAAUUGAGUUUUCAAUGCAUUUAUGUGCAUAAUUCAAAUUUCAACUACAUGUGCAUGCUCUAAUGCAUAUAAAUUGGUUGAAAAUUCAAAUCGGUCUCCUUGGUUGCAUGCUUAGGUCCCAUGCAAGAAAUGCGAAUGAAUGUCAAACACCCUGCCACCGUCACUCAGCCACAAACAUUGAGAUACCUAAUUUUUAAAUUCUAGUAAAUCCAAAACUCGUCUGAAAUUCGUGAAACAUGGCAUGCUAUCAUGGAGCGGCAUCAACAUGUUGUGUCCCAUUUGGGGCAGGUUUGGGUAUAAGCUUCUCACAAACCAGAGCUUCUCACAACAAGCCUGCUGGUUUCGGUAGGGAACGUUUCACCUUUCUGGACAAAACAAUAGCCGUUGCCUCUUCUUGAUUACAAUUUUUUCUCUAGUGUCAACAUAGAACAAGAUGAGUGUUGUGUUAAAUUUUGGAAUUUUUCGGGGUUUAUUAGGACAUUCUUAUGCAUUAAUUGAGUUUUCAAUGCAUCUAUGUGCAUAAUUCAAAUUUGAACGACAUGCACAUGCUCUAAUGCAUAUAAAUUGGUUGAAAAUUCAAAUCUGUGUCCUUGGUUCCAUGCUUAGGUCCCAUGCAGGAAAUGGAAUGAAUGUCAAACACCCUGCCACCGUCACUCGGCCGGAAACAUUGAGAUACCUGGUUUUUAAAUUCUAGAAAAUCAAAAACUCGUCUGAAAUUCAUGAAACCUGGCAUGCUAUCAUGGAAUGGCACCCGACAUGUCGUGGUAAUUGUUUUGUCCCAUUUGGGGCAGGUUUGGGUAUAAGCUUCUCACAAACCAGAGCUUCCCACAACAAGCAUGAUGGUUUCAGUAGGGAAUGUUUCACCUUUCUGGAUGAAACAAUAGUCGUUGCCUCUUCUUGAUUUCAAUUUUUUCUCUAGUGUCAACAUAGAACAACAUGAGUGUUGUGUUAAAUUUUGGAAUCUUUCGGGGUUCGUUAGGACAUUCUUAUGCAUUAAUUGAGUUUUCAAUGCAUUUAUGUGCAUAAUUCAAAUUUGAACUACAUGCACAUGCUCUAAUGCAUAUAAAUUGGUUGAAAAAUUGAAUAUGCGUCCUUGGUUGCAUGCUUAGGUCUCAUGCAGGAAAUGGGAAUGAAUGUCAGACACCCUACCACCGUCACUCGGCCGCAAACAUUGAGAUACCUGCUUUUUAAAUUCUAGUAGAUCCAAAACUCAUCUGAAAUUCAUGAAACCUGGCAUUCUAUCAUGGAAUGGCACCCUACAUGUCGUGGUAAAUAUUUCGUCCCAUUUGGGGCAGGUUUGGGUAUAAGCAUCUCACAAACCAGAGGUUCUCACAACAAGCCUGAUGGUUUCGGUAGGGAACGUGCCACCUUUGGGAACGAAACGAUACCCGUUGCCUGUUAUUGCUUUCAAAAAAAAUUCUAGUGUCAACAUAGAACAACAAGAGUGUUGUGUUAAAUUUUGGAAAUUUUCGGGGUUCGUUUGGACAUUUUUAUACAUUAGCUGGGUUUUCUAGGCAUUUUACGUGCAUAAUUCAAAUUUGAACUACAUGCACAUGCUCCAGUGCAUAUAAAUUGGUUAAAAAUCAAAUCUGUGUCCUUGGGUGCAUGCUUAGGUCCCAUGCAAGAAAUAGGAAUGAAUUGCAAACACUAGGGCACUAUUGAUUGCCGGCAAAACGUUGAGAUACUUUGUUUUUAAAUUCUAGCAAAUCCAAAACUUGUUUGAAAUUCAUGAAACUUGGCAUGCUAUCAUGGAAUGGCACCCGACAUGUUGUGGUAAUUUUCGUGUCCAUUUCGAGAUAAGGCGCACUUGAAUAACAGUCAACAAAGGCAUUUUGAAACAACUAGCUGCCACUCUAACAUCGCAAAUGUUUUAGAUAGAACACCCAUAUGUACACUGACAGCUUCCCCAGUAAGGCAAGGGAAAAUGUGCAAAGCAGGAUUUAUGCAGCUCUUCAGCGCAAACGUUUUAGAUAGAACACUUGUAUGCAAAGUGAGAGCUAUGGUCUUCCGCAGUAAGCCAAGGGAAAAUUCACUAUGCAGGAUUUGUGCAUCUCUUCAAUGCAAACGGUUCAAAUUGAAUAAGGUAUGAAAAGCGAAACUUCGGCGCUAAGCCAAGAGAAAAUUUGGCAAGCAAGAUUUCUACCUCCCUUCAAUGCAAACUGUUUUUUCGGAUGACCCGUGUGCAACCACGUACAGACAAUUUGGUAAGAUUUGCAUUUGUCAUAUUGGGUAUAUGGCCAUUUGUCAAACUAGAAAGAUUGACAUUUGUUGAUCUAGUAACAUUGCCAUUUGUCAAUACUUGUAACACCGGGAUUUGUCAAAAUAUGCAGCUAAAACUCACUAGCACUAUCUAAUCUUUGCAACUAAAAUUCAGUAAUUAAGCAUAGAUUUCAUUCAUGGAUUAAGCAGUCGUGCUUAAUUUAUACAAACAGUUCAACUCGACAGCUGAACCGACCAAACGUUUCCCCAAUUGUAGCCAACCAUGUACAGAAAUAGCUAGUUCAACUAUAUAUACUAGCUAAUUUUAAGUACAUUGUACAGUUCCAACACAUCUAUAGUCAGAUGAACUGAAUAAAAUAGCCCCUAAAUACUACUACGGAGGGGCUUUAUACUACUUUCGGUAGCCUCUCCUCUGCCGAGUGCACUCAGUAAGAGGAAGAGGAGGACGAGCCUACCGACAAGCUGGACAACUACAAUACGGUGCCUGCCGCUACUGCACCUUCAACGACGCUCACCUCGAACGCCCUCAGCCGCUCUAGUCGACCACUCUCAAAGCGGUCGGACUGCUCGUAGAUCUCCUGAUUCCUUGUCUUUGCGUCGGCAUGUGCCACGGCCACGGUGGUGGUAAGGCUCUUUGCAUGCUCGACGAGGCGCUCCUCCUCCUCCCGUAGGAACUCGAUGUAGCGUGCAAGGUCGCUGCCACACGUGUGGGCCUCCACCUCUACCUCCCUCCUUCGGGCGGUGGUGGCGGAGUGGGUGAUGAUCUCGGUAGUCGACAGUGGGCUGGCAGCCAUGGCGGCCUAUGAUGGGGUGGUGGCCACAACCACCACCUCCCGCCUUCGGGCCGCGGUGGCGGAGCGGGUGAUGGCCACGGUGGCCGGCAGUGGGGUGGCGGCCACCUCCCUCCUUUGGAUCGUGGCGACAGAGUGGGCGAUGGACCUGACUUUCGAUGGAGCUAUGGCGGCAACGGCGGCCGGCAAUAGCUGCUGACGGGUACCGGUGGCCGAGCAUGUGCUGGGUCUUCCGCGCACACCCAACAGGGACGCCACGCGCACUACACUACGCGGGGACUACGCCGCCGCCGCGGUGUAGCCUCCCAGCUAGAACUGUGCUUUGAUGAUGGCGGAGUGGCUGAGCGACGACGACGGUCCGGUGCCAUUGCCGAUUGUGGGAGAAGCAAAGGAGAUAAGCUAUAGGGAGGGAGGGGAAAAUGCGACGCAGGACUCGCCGGCCAUGAGGGUUUAUAUAGUAGGCUAGUAAGCAUUGAGAUUUUGGGGGAUUUCACCAAGUUGGGCGGGAAGCUUGCAUGGAAACCUACACGGUUGCGCGGGAACGGGCACACUCACCACCGUUUGGCCAAAAGAACGCCCCCGCGCACUGCUCAAGCUUGAGUUCCAACCGUCUACGGCAGCAGGGUGACAAGAAAUGCGGGAGGAGGACGAAAGGACACGUACACAUACGUUUAAUAAAAAAACGUUUGUGAUUUAAUUACCUACUAUACCCCCGUCCUGGUUUAUAAGUAUGAUUUAAUUAAUAAAAUACGAAUGCAUGUCGCCAAAGAUUAUAUCGUUGGAUUCGUAUUUGGGCAUAGUUUCCAGUUAUAUAAUUUUUGUAACAUCAUUAACAUUUUGUUGGUUAAAUUUAAGGUUAUAUACCAGCAAGCGUUUGCCCAUCACACACACGACUUAUUCCAUCACAAACAGCUAGGAUGGAUCAACUGUAUGCCACGUAUCGCACACGCAACUCUAAUCUGAUUCAUGCUUGAUGUCUCCGACAUCGCUCGCACAGUUUGUCUUAUUUGCCACGUAUCACUGUGUCGGCCUCUACUCGCGUCCCUCGGCAAGCUCUGCUCACCGUUAGGCGCCGCGGUGCGCUGUGCUCGCCGUUAGGCGCCGCAGUGUGAUGUGCUCGCCGUUAGGCGCCACAGUGCGUUGUGCUUGCCGUUAGGCGCCGUCGGCGCGCUCGGGUUGUGGACAGCUUUUCCUUGUGUGUUCAACUGCUCGGUUGAGGCGACCGCGGAGCGCUUUGCUCACGUCCCUUCACAUGCGCUCUGCCAGCGGUUGGGCCCGCGCACGAUCACGUCGGGGGCCUCAUAUGCAUGCGCUUGCGCCGCGCGCGUUGCCAUGCGAUGUAGUUACGUGCGGCACGAUGGAGUUACGCACUGCGAAUUACAACUGCCAUUAGGGCGUGCCGAUCGAUAUUCCAGGCCGUCCGGCUUCCCCUUUAAUUCCUGCGUCCAUUAUAACCUUAGUCUCUUCAACCUUUUGAUCGCAUCCCACAACACAACAAGCACACCCACGAUGACAUAUAGAGAGGGGAUGUCUAGCGGCGCUCCGAUGGAGUUCGGCGAGCGUAAAGUGGAGACCCACGCGAGGGAGACGGAUCUCUCGGUGGUGUACACCAUCGACCUGGCCGUGGUGGACAACUACAUCAACACCGUUGAGCAGUUGCUUGCUGGAGAGAAGUACAAGGUGGUCAGCAUCGACCUCCAGUACACCGCCGGUCUUCCCGGCAAAGAUCAGAAGGUUGUCGUCACCAAGUUGUGUGUGCGCCAUCAUGUCCUCAUCUACCACUAUUGCAUGGCCACAGAGUCUUGCGUCUAUUUCGCCAGGUUGUCAACAGCACCGACUACAAGUUUGCUACAGUGGAAACCACCGACGAUGUAAAAGCGCUCGGGGUUAUGGGCUUGGCCUGCAAGAACUUUGUUGAAAUCCGUGAGCACUAUAGGGUUUGGGCAGCACGAAGAAGGACUCCCUGGUUGAACUCACCUCGGCCAUCAUCGACCCCUACUACAAAAAGAUGUAGGAUGCACAGAGAACAAGUCCCGUAUCCUGGCACAAGGCCUGGAUGUGGUGACUGGAUGAACCUCACCUCAGGUUCGUAGCCAAGUGCGUGUACACAUGAUACAAGAUGCACAGGUGGACCGUUGACAUGAGGAAGUGCCUCCUUACCUAAAUCGACAAGCCCGGAUCGAGCCACAAGCAGAGCAAGCGUCACAAGCAGUAGAUGAUGAUCAGAUGAUCAUGUAUGCUAGUUAAUCAUGCAUGUAAUAUAUAGUUUACUUUGGUGUGUGUGGCAUGCACAUAGUAGCCACCUAUGCAAUUAUGCUUGUAAUAGUUUACUUUGGUGUGUGCAAAUACCAUGGUUGUAGUAGCCACCUAUGUAAGUGGAUGUUUAAUUUUGUUAUGCAACCAUGUCCUUAUAAGUGUGUACAUAUUAUAUGUUGUUGUUCUGUAUGCAAUCCCAUCGCACAACACACAGUCUUAUUAGCAGCAAUUGACUAUGUUAUUAUCGGUCUUCGCACACAUUUCUGGUUACAGACCGAUUUGCCGCGUAUCACACACAUCUUGUUAUAUUGAACCGUUUAUGUUCUCUUGUCUCAACACAAACAGUUCAUCCGAGUGAACCACGUGUCGUAUAUCGCACACACCUUGAUCUGGCUGACCAUUUCUUUUGUGUUGCCUAAUCACGAACAAUUCAUCCUAGUGAACCGUAUGAUGUUUAUCGCACACACACCUUCAUCUGGCUGCCCGUUUCUUCUGUUGCUCCUCAUCGCAAAUAGUUAAUUGCACUGAAUCGUAUGCCCUACAUCACACACAAAACUAAAAUCUGAACCGUGUUUAAUGCAUCCAUCAUCGCAAACGUGUUGCACCUUUUUUGACGGGUUUUUUACACCACUGUUUGUGAUUAAUGCAUCGCACACAGUUUCGUCAAAGGGUCUUUGAUCAUAGUGUCGCAUUAGCAGCAUCCUGCACUAGUGGCUCUCCAUGGCAUGUUAGUUCUUUUCUUGUUGGGAUUUCAAUUGUCUCUACACAAUCGGCUGAUACCUGGAAUCUAGUUAAUGUUUACGACCCAUGUGCUGGACAAGAGAGAAUUAACUUUACUUCAUUGCUUUUUGACCUGCAUAUUCCUGAUGAUGAAAACCGGCUACUCUUAGGAGACUUUAACUUCAUCAGAUCAACCACUAAUAGAAAAAAGCCUGGGGGGAAUGCCAAUGAUAUGUCGUUGUUCAAUGAAAUCAGUAGGGUGCAUUUGUUGGUGGAACUUCCUAUUAAAGGGAGAUCUUUUACAUGGAGUAAUAUGCAGGAAGACCCGCUUCUGGAGCAGCUUGACUGGUUUUUCACCUCCUACAACUGGACCACCUCCCUCCCAAAUACUGUGGUGAUGCCCAUGGGCAAACCAGUGACUGACCACAUACCUUGUGUGGUUACAAUUGAGUCUAAGAUCCCCAAAUCUAAAUUAUUCAUAUUCGAGGACUUGUGGAUCAAUCUGCCUGGCUUCUCGAAGGUUGUUCAACGUUCUUGGUCCAAGCCUUGUUUUUCCCCAAACUCAGCCUCUCUCAUAUGCAAAAAACUCAAAACCCUGCGGUAUGAUCUCAAACAGUGGAGCAAAGGGAUUUCCAGGCUCAGGAUCUUGAUAUGUAACAGCAAUGAGGUCUUGCUUUUCCUUGAUACCUUAGAAGAUCAAAGGGGCCUUUUUCCUCUGGAAGCAAAAUUUAGAUGUGUUCUCAAAAAACAUCUGAAUGAGUUGCUUCGCCACCAGAAUGAAUAUUGGAGGAAAAGAUGCACAAUACAGUAUUUCAGAUUUGUAGAUGAAAACACUAAGCUCUUCCAGGCUCUAGCGACUAAGAGGUACAGACACAACUCCAUUGUGUCCUUGCAUCAUGGUGACGUGGUUGUGCUUGAUCAUGCAGGUAAAGAGGGGAUCCUAUACAAUGCUUACAAGGAGAGAUUGGGAACAUCAAAACCCACCACCAUGAAGUUUGACCUCAGCAGAAUCAUACGAAGGGUGGAGGGUUUGGAAGAACUCUCAUCCCCUUUCUCCCAUUGUGAGAUUGAUGAGGUGGUGCGCAGUAUGCCACCUGAUCGAGCACCCAGACCCGAUGGCUUCAAUGGGUGUUUCUUGAAGAGCUGUUGGUCGACUGUUAAGGGGGACUUUUACAAAUUAUGUGAUGAGUUCUAUGAGGGCAGGCUGGAUAUUACUAGUAUUAGUGAUGGGUACAUCACCCUAAUUCCCAAGACGUCCUCGCGUGAAUCUGCUAAUGACUAUAGACCGAUCACACUGCUAAAUUGUUGUCUCAAAAUUGUCACCAAGUUGCUUGCUAAUCACCUGCAGAAAAUGAUUCUGAAAAUUGUGCACAGGAACCAAUAUGGCUUCCUCAAGGGGAGAACUAUCCACGACUGCUUGGCCUGGACUUUCGAGUUCAUCCAUCAAUGUCAAACUUCUUCACGAGAGAUUGCUCUGUUAAAAUUGGAUUUUGCCAAAGCGUUUGACACAAUUGAACAUGAGCCGAUGAUGAAUAUUAUGAAGCAUAUGGUGUUUGAUGAGAAAUGUCUUGGUUGGAUGAAAUCAAUUUUUUGUUUGGGGAGUUCUUUAGUUCUUUUAAAUGGUUGCCCGGGUAGGAAAUUCAAAUGCAAAUGUGGCAUGCGCCAAGGUGAUCCCCUGUUGCCCCUGAUCUUCGUGCUUGCCACGGACUUGCUGCAAGCGGCCAUCAACGAUGCCUUCAUGCGCUAGUUAAUCCACCUGCCCUUCCCCUCACCCAGUGUGUCCGACUACCCAAUUGUGCAAUACGCUGAUGAUACAAUUCUUCUCGUGCCUGCCUGUUCGACUCAAACUGCCAUUAUGAAAGCUAUUCUUGUGGAUUAUGCUGACUCGGUAGGCCUCAAGAUUAACUUUGACAAGUCCACUCUCAUCCCGAUCAACAUGUCCCAAGGUAAAACGGAUGAGUUAGCUCGCAUCUUUGGUUGCAUGAUGGGCACGAUGCCGUUCACCUAUCUUGGUCUUCCCAUGGGGACCACUAGACCAUCUGUGCUCAAUCUUAUGCCACUGGUCCAUAGUGUUGAGAGGAAACUGUCAACGGCCUUGUCCUUGAUGUCCACCAGUGCAAAACUCACGUUGGUCAACUCUGCGAUCACUUCUAUGCUCAUCUAUGCCAUGUGUACCAUCAAAUUGCCUCCCCGGGUGGUUGAGCAUCUAGACAAGUUGUGCAGUAUUGUCUCUGGGCAAAAAACACUGAUGAUGGUGUAAAAUCAAACUCCUUGGUAGCCUGGGACCUGGUUUGCAGACCGAAGAAGAAAGGAGGCCUGGGCAUUAUUGACAUCAAUACUCAAAAUGUGGCCCUCCUACUCAAGCACCUCUUCAAGUUCUAUAAUAAAGAAGAUGUACCUUGGGUUUCCCUCAUAUGGAGUGCUUACUACUUUGAUAAAGUACCACACACUUGCAACGCGAUUGGCUCGUUUUGGUGGCGUGAUGUUAUAUCACAUAGUGAUAUUUUCAGAGGGAUCACGUCGGUGGUGAUUGGAGAUGGCUCCUCUUCUCUCUUCUGGAAAGAUUUGUGUCUCAGUGAUGGGGAUGAACACUCUCUGAUGCAAUCUUUCCCUAGGGCUUUCUCCUUAUGCACGGAUGAAGAUGCAAUAGUAAGCUCUGUUCUGCAGGCCAGUGAACCAAGUGAGAUGUUCCAACUCCCACUCUCUAUGCACGCUCGGGAGGAGAUGAGAGAGAUAUAGAAACGGUCUGCUCAUGUCUCGCUAGACAUGGAGGAGAGUGAUGUUUGGGUCUGUUCGAUUGCUAGUUGAUUCUCCUCCAGCAAAUAAUAUGAGCACUGCUUCAGAGAGGUGGAGGUCGACGAGGCCUUCGUCUUGCUCUGGAAAGCCAAAAGCCCCAUCAAAUUCAAGGUGUUCUGCUGGCUCCUGAUGGUUGAUCGCCUGAACACACGAAACAUGCUCAAGCGUCGCCACUAUAACAUCACACACAACAACUAUGCAUGCCUGUUGUGUGACCAACCCCCGAAGGAGACUGUGGAACACCUCUUCUUUCAAUGCCCGUUCAGUACGCGAUGUUGGGCCAAAUUGGGGAUUAAUUGGCUUAACUAUGACAACAGUGUCAGUUAAAUUCGUGGUGGUAAACAGCAGUGGAACCAGCCUCUCUUUGUGGACAUUUUCAUGUUGUCCUCUUGGAGUAUUUGGAAGGAAUGAAAAAAAUAAGCAUUUUAGGGGAGUGCCGCACUCUUUUAGCUCCUGGCUGGCGCGCUUCAAGAGUUUAAUGGAGCUACUUGCUCACAAUUGUAAACACGAGUUACACCCCUUCAUUUCCAUGUUCCUCCAAGGCUUGUGAUUUGCCUUUGCCUUUUGUAACCUCCACUGAUUAGUGUAUCUGUCUUGGUUUUGCUUUUAGUUUUAUUCCUGGCUUGGGGGACCUUAACCCCACCCUGUAAGCUAUGUAACCCUGUGAUAUGAGUUAAUACAAAGUUAGUGGGAGCCUCUCCCACUGUCAUUUAACCCUAAAAAAUAUCGUCGUCCGUCCAGCUUAGUUCGGUAAGGUGGUUUCUUGAAGAAGACGAUGGAGAAGCGGAGUCAGCGAAGAGUGAAAUGAUGGUUGCUUCGUCCAUGCUUUGUGAUUUGAUGCCUCACUACUUUGUGAUUUUUGAUAGAAAGGACAGGGGAGUAGACUAUGUGCUCUAUACUGUGCAUGCGUCCAAGCACGGGAGAAAGAGGAGAGAGGUUGCAUUUUUCUAUUCCUUCAAUCAAUCAAUUAGGGAGCUUCGGUUCCUGGCUUUGGCAGCGCCAUCCAGAAUGGUUCCCAUCGAUGCCAAAAGCUAUUUUCACAUUUGGCUACACAUUGUGGAUGCCCUUAACCGUACCACUUGGUUUUGCUCCUGUGUGCUAUCUAUACAAAUCUUGAUUAUAUUGAUCUAAAAAAUAAUAGUAUCGAGAUUAGUAAAAAGGAGGUGAUUUUGCAGCGCGGAUGGCGGGGGAGGUUUCUUAUUUUUAGAGGACGUUGGCCUGGCGGUUUGCUAACAUGCGGUCUCACGUGUCAGUGCUUUACCAAGCCGAUCUGCGUCCCACAUGAGGCGGGACAACGGUAGAAGCAACACGUGGUUAACUUGAAAAAGAUGAGGGAGAAGCGGAUUCAGCAAUGAGUGAAAUGAUGGUUGCUCCAUCCCUCCAACUUCUUUUUUAGCAUUAUUACUUCGUCCCUCCAACUUAACUGCGAGAAAGGUGCAGCUUUAUGAUUUGACGCCUCAUUGCUCAUUACUACGUCGACGCCUUGACUAGGGUGCUUCAUCCCUGCUGCUCUGCACUAUUAUUUCGAUAUGGCACGUGGACCCGAUUGCUUGAUGUCCCACAUGUUGGCGAAAGGGACUUGUGUAAUUGAGACAAACAAUGAGACAAAGAGAAAGAGCUUUCUUCUUCUUUAGGUGGGUCCCACACGUAAAUGAGAUAUGAAGAUAGGGGUAAAAAUUUCUAGUAAACGCCCCACAAACAGUCAAAGUCCUUUGACUGGACGAAAAUGGCACCAAAUAGUAUCCAUGUAAGGGAGCGAGACGGAAGAGGAGCAAAUGUAAGCAGGCUUGGGAAUUAGGGUAAAUCUGAGUAGUGGAAUCGAGUUUAGGGCUGAACUGGAAUGUAAUUGACCCAAAAAUAAAUGGCAUGAUGGCAACUUUAACAUACUCCCUCUGGUUCAAUAUGUAGUGCGCAUGGUUUGCAGCUCCAAGACCAAGGCAUGACGUGGACUUGUACUUUUGGACCACAAUAGCCCUGCCUGCACACACUCUGUACGCAUGCAUGUGGAUGUGGUUGCAUCUCCUGUGAACAGCUGAGGGUAAUUGCUGUCCAAUGUAGCUCACGCGCACUACAUUGUGGAAUUCUAGCAAAAAACUAAUUCGCACUAGAUAAGGGAAUGGAGGGAGUACAAUGAUAGCAAAAUUAUAAGAUUUAUGUAGUGUUCACGUGGCAAAUUUCUGCGUUAAAAAAAGAUUGUGCUCGUGAGACGACAGGAAUUUGCCAUGUCAAUAAAUAUGAUAUUUUAUAUAAAAAAAUACCAUGGUAUGUUAAAUAAUUUGCCUCGCAAGUUUCAACAAAUUUUCCAUGGUCUUGAAAACAAAAACAAAUUCAAAAUUAUAAAAUUUAUGCAGUGUUCACGUGGCAAAUUCUGCUUGUGAGACGACAGGAAUUUGCCAUGUCAAUAAAUAUGAUAUUACAUAAAAUAAUAAUUUAUCAGGGUAUGUUAAAUAGAUUUUCCUUAGCAAGUUCAACAAAUUUUCUAUGGUCCUGAAAACAAAAAGAAAUUAGUUGUUAAAAGACAUGCUACGUGCAAUCAAACUACCUUGUUCUAAUCAGUAAAGUUGGCAUGCGACAAUAAAAUUGUCAUGGUCUAAAUAAUAAAAUUGACAUGACCUAAUUUAGAAAGUUACCGUGGUAUUUAUAAUAAAAUUGUCAUGGUCUUGAUAAUAAAGUUACCAUGCUAUCUACUAUAAAACUAUCAUGGUCCAAUUAAUAAUUUAGUCAUGGUCUAAUUAGUAAAAUUUACAUGUUCUUAAAAAUAAGAUUGCCAUGGUUCCUACAAUAAAAUUGCCAUGGUCUAUUGAACGAUUAAAUAUGAAAUUACUAUUAUUUGUUCAAUAAAAAAUGCCAUGGCAUAAGCACUAAAUUUGCCAUGCUCCAAUAAGCAUUUACAAAGAAAAACCAUGGUAUGAGAAAUAAAAAAAAAGUUCAUAUAUUUGCACAUGCCCACCACAAAAUGAUUGUUUUAAAACAUUGGGAAAAUAGCCACGUGUAAAGAAAAAAAGGGGAGAUAUUUUUCCCACAUGAACACCACAAAUGAUUGUUUUUAAAAAUUGUGAAAAUCGCCACGUAAAAAAGAGAAAAGGGGAAGCAGCUGGGAUGCAAUCUCAGGUAUCCCAAAUGAAAGCUCGCGUCCCUCAAAAAAAAAGGAAUGGAAGCUCGCGGUGCCCGGUACAUUGUGCAGGUAUGGGUGUUGUGGGAUGGAGGCCGGCUGUAAAAUAAGAGCGUCCAUGCCCAUGCUCUGUUCCAGAGAACGAUUUUUAGAGCUAAGGUGUAUUCCCUCCCUUGCUUCAAGAUAUGUGGCCUCAUCCAACGGCAAUAAACAUGUUCGCCGGAAAGUCUGAAAAAUCUGACUUCGUCUGAUUGCUUUUUUCGUAAAAAAAAUUACGUGGAUUUACAUUCUGCGAACAUACUAACAUAUUUCGACGACCGCCACAAAAAAAAGACAUAUUUCGACGACGUAUUUAGUACUCCCUCCAUCCCAAAAUAAGUGUCUUGACCUUAGUACAACUUUAUACUAUGUUUAAUAUAAAGUUGAGACACUUAUUUUAAGACGGAGGAAGUAUGUAGCAGGUGAGCAUAGCCUAUAAAUAAAGUAAGAAAAACAGCGAAAACAGUACCGUAGGCAUAGGUACUUGGACAGUUGGACGAGAAAGAUGACUUGAAUACCUCAAUACAGGAAGGAGAUCGAGGACAAAUGUACUGGGAGGGCGGCACAUGAGGGACACGAUACAUACGGUUUGUCACGUAGCCCCUGGCACGCACACACGCACAGCCAGCCCAUGGCGACGGACCAAUCAUGGCCGCGCCACAUCACACCGCCCAUCCCUGCCACCCGUACGGACCACGUGGACGCCUCAGCCCUCGAUGACACGCGAGGCCGGCCCGUUCCGGCCCGGGCCCGAGCGACACCACGCCGUUCUUGCAGGGCAGGCCCGCGGCUCCAUUAAGACCCAGCUCAGCUCCGCAGGCUCGGGCUCGACGGUGCACCGGCGGGAGCCGCUCCUCCUGUCGCCUAGCGCAGGGGCAGGGCCGUACUUUGGCUCCCUCCCUCCUCCAUCCAUCCGGUACCGUGGCAGGGCCAGCGGCCUGUAACGGCGUGGGGCCAGUGAGGGCGACGCGAGUGAAAAACGGGCACGGACUCUUCUGUCCCGACUGCGCGGCCGAGAGUUGUUUUUUUACCGCGCUCCUCACUGUGCAUUGGUCCCCACUGAGUUUAAUCCGGCGUGCCGCUCAGAUCGGCCACGUGCCAUUUAUUCCCCCCACGUUCCUCCCACACUCCCCGUUCCCUGUUUCGAAAUAAACAAUGGCCCAUGGCGAGGGAGCUCUUAUCUUUUCCAGGAACGCCAAGCCCCUCGCCAUGGACGGAGAAAUUCUGCUGCCGCUAUCUCGAGCUCCAGCACAACUGUAUCGAUUAGUGCCAAGUCGGUCGCGGUUUGAGAGAUUUUGAUAGCUGCAUUGCAGCUCGGGCGUCACGAUUGGGUUCCAGGACACAUGAUUUACCUACCGAGAUGGAACAGAGAACCCAUGACAUCAUUUCAUCCAGGCUUGUGUUGCAGAGGAUCACGCGGUAAGUAUGAUUAGGAGAUGAUGAAGGUUACAUACACUCGGAGGUUAAGCGCGGUUUCCCAUGGACAGAAAGCAAGAGAGACAUGCAUGCAACGCACCGCGCGCAGGAAAGAACACACGGUACUCGACGAAGGGAGCGCUCUGAACAUUUAUCCAUGCCUGUUACAUUUAUCAGAGAAGGGAUCGAAAGAGAACAAAAGAAACAAACACACGAAAGAAUCCCGAGGAGAGGAGAAAGCCAAGCGAGAAGAGAAUAGAACAAAACGAAUGUGCCUCCACAAGUAGACAGCGAGAGAGAGAGAGAGAGAGAGGCAUUACAGCAUGGUUUAAAUCACCAGAGUGCCAUCAUUAUCACCAACACACUAACCGCUCAACUAACUUGAGAAACAAGAGGACAAACUAGAGAGGAGAGGCUAACUAAUCGAACCCACGAGGAAGAUGGGGUGAAAUUUACAACGAAUACACGAAUCAUGCACGAAGCGUGGGUCAUGCCGGCGAGGAGGAGCUGCCGGAGGCUGACGACGAGGAGACGCUCGCCAGGACCUCGGCUAGAGCGGUCAUGGCGCGCACCUGCAUCUCCAGCGCCUUGAUGUAGUCGGAGGCCUCGCUCAGGAGCGCCGGGAACGGCAGCUUGUGGCAGCCGGGAACCAGCCGCCCCAGCACCUUCGCCUUCUUCGCCAGCGCCGGUGCCUUCCCCGGCUGCGGCUGUGCGGCGGCAGCGACCGAGGAGUGGCGCGCGGGCGGUGUGGCUGGGGCGCGGAGGCGCGCGCGGUGGGCGGCCUGCAGGCGCCGGCGGCGGGAGGCGAGUAUGGCGCGGCUCCAGCGCGAGCGCCCGCGGGCCGCCACCGCGAGCGCGCGGUCGGCCGCCUCCCGCACGGCCCGGCCACGCGCCGGCGCCGUGGACGCGGACGAUGACCCGCCUCGGACAAGGCGGAGCGCCUCGAAGAGCUUGGACGAGUAGAUCUCGUGCUCGCGCCGCGUCCGCCACUUGGAAGGCUGCGCCUCCGUCCCCGGGCCGGCGGACGCUGUGGACUCACCCCCGGCUGCCCUUUUCCGCUUCCGCUCCCUCUCAUCCACCGCCGUCGAGCUCGACGUGGACGCCAUUGCAAUAUUCUCGCAAGAGCUCGGCGGGUUGCACAGAAACCGCCAACGAAGAGCAGGAUUAGGCAGCCUGUGAUCUGAUUGUCUCUCCUGAGCUGGGUCUGCUCUUGCCUUUGAGUUGGGACUUGGGAGAGGAGAAGAGGUGGGACGGGGGAGGUGGGAGAGGUUGGGGGAUUGAAUAUAAAGGGGGCGGUAUUGG